AUCUUACAAAUGAAUGGAGAGAAGAAUAAGUUACUGAAAUUUGUUUAUCUUACAAGUUCGGGGAGUAAUACAGCAGAAUCCACAAUCAUACACUUAUCAUCUCAAAUAUGAACUACUAAUAAGCACUUUGAUGUCCCCAGUUUCUUCCCUGAUUCUUUUUGCAGACUCUUCUGCAGAUUGUCCACACCAGUGCACUUCAAUCAAUUUCAGUGUGCCUAUGGCAGCAAAAUCAUCUGGGAUUUCCUCGAGGUCUUUGCAAUUUUGCAAGACAAGCCGUUCAAGUUUGGGAAGGUGAUCACAAGUGGCAUUCCAUUGAGAAACGUUCAGGUUGUCUAACUUCAAGAAUUUGAGUUCCUUGAACUGUUCUUCCUCCAUGUCCCAUAUCAGCCCCUCAAAGGCAUCAAGAAGUAAUUUGAGAACUUCCAGGUUGGGUAGUCUCCCAAUUGUUGAGAUAUGACUCCAUGGUAGACGAAAGUUUGAAAGAGUCAAUUUCCUCAGAUUGGAAGGGAGAAUGAAUUCCCUGGUAAUAGCGCUUCCAUAGUAAAAUACAUUGAGUGACACCAAAUGAGUUAGAAAAUCUAAUCUUGGAAACUGAUAGGAAUUCUUCGAAGAACCCUGUGGAUGAAAGAAUAUGCACCUCAGUUUCUGAAGAUUUGGCAACCUCUUUAUUAUUGAUUCUGUAUCUUCACCACAAGAGAGAGAGAGACAGGAAAGGCUGACCAAAUCACCCAACUUACAGCAGACUUCAAGCCCUUGAUCAUCCAAUGUGAAGGCAACAUGCAUAUUCACAUGAAGAUGCCUCAACCUUGUCAUGUGCCAAAUAGUAUCUGGUAAGACAACCUGACCACGUAAUCCCUUCAAAACAAAAGUUUCUAGUUUUCGGAGAUUGCCUAUGGAUUGUGGAAUAGUUUGCAUAUAACCAGUAACUGCCAAAUACCUCAAAUGAACCAGAUAUGUAAUGUCAGCAGGGAAGGUGACACCCAGGUUGAUGCAUUCAAAAUCUAACACCCGCAGAAGUUUGAAGUUGUGCCAAAUGAAUGAGAUGUCAUAAGGACAUCUGGGCUCUGAAUCAGCUGAAGGAAAGAAUAGCAAAGAACGAGUACCCAGGCCAAAAGGUCUUGAUUUAAAAAAAUGGAGUCGCUUCAAAAAAAAGCACAAUCGGUAGGCUUCAUAUGUGACAGGAUCAGAAUGAUGGCCAAUUUCAAAACCAAAAUCUGAACUAGGAAAAGAUACAUAUGGCUCAUCAAACCUGGUUACUAGCCGGAAGAAGUUCUCUGCCCUGGCUUUUAACUGACAAAAAUCACGUAACAGAUCAUGCAAGCGACAUGAUUUGACCGUUCCGUUGGAUCUUCUUUUGGAGACUUCCACCAGGCUUCUGCUAAUCAACUCCAUCAAGUAACCCUCGGCAAUACCUUCUAAGCUCUUCAACUCAGAGUCAUGAAUGAAACCUUCAGCAAGCCAAAACCGUAUCAACUUGCUAACAGGAAUAUCCUUGUCUUCAAGGAAAACUCCCAAAUAAAGAAAGCACGGUUUUAGAUAUCCCGGUAAGUGUUUGUAACUCAAUUCAAAGAUUUCCAUGCACUGAGCUUUUGGAUCUUCCAUAACUUCAGCAAUCAAGCCUUUUGCAAUUUUCCCCCAUGAUGCUCUGCUCUUUUCUAUCUUUUGGAGGAGACCAGAUAUUGCAACAACAGCAAGAGGCAAUCCUUCACACUUUUUGGCAAUUUCCCUUCCAACAAGCAACAAUUCUUCGGGACAACCUUCACCAUGGAAUACUUUCUCUACUAAUAAGUUCCAGCUUUCAUCAUCAGAAAAUAAGCGUAGAGAAUGAGGAUCACUAUCUGGUUCAAUUUGCAAGGCCACAUCACGAAGGCGGCUGGUAAUCAAAAUUCUGCUUCCAUUGGCAUCAUCUGGGAAUGCAUUUCUUAACUCAUUCCAAACUCCAGCAUCCCACACAUCAUCCAUAACAAUGAGAAACCUGUUUCUCAGUAAGCACUGAUGCAAUUUUAAUUGGAGAUCUUCGUUUGUCAUUUGAUGAAUUUCAUCCGUAAGUCCGAGAAUGCCACAUAAAAUCUCCAGCAGCAGUUCUCUUUUUUCAUAUUCAUGUGAAACAGUACACCAUGCACGACAAUGAAAGUGAGACAAAACCUUUUGGCAGUUAAACAGUUUCCAAGCCAUUGUUGUCUUGCCAAUACCGGGCAUUCCCACAAGAGAAACGAUGCCAAACUUUGAGGAUCCCUUGACAAGUUGAUCAGUUAUAGAUUGUUCUUCAUCUCUGGGAUCCACCACCAUUCCAUUGAUUGCUGGUGUAGCAUCCCGUGAUAUCACGUUGGGUGGAACCUGGAUGACGUGUUUGUUAUCUAGGACUUUGGCUUGAGGGGCCGUCAACUGAAUUCUAGAGGCUCGGUUAUUAACAAUUCUUAACUCCUCUAGUAGAUCAUAAACCAAAAAGAAACCUUGCCAUUGAGGAUCGACCUCAAUUGAGUCAAUGACAAACUCAAUUUUAUAAGCAAUAUUGGCAACAUGACCACCAAGAACUUUCACUUCUGGAUUGUCAUCAAUAUCCGACUCUGAGACUUUCAUGAGAAAAGAACCCAAAGACUUGAAAUGUAGAUGAAUUUCUUUUAUGUAAUUCCUGACUGGUUCAAUUGACGCAGGAUCAUAGUUCAGCAGUUCCUCCAGGCUUCCAAUGAGAAAUUCAACGAACCCUGGCUUGUAAGUCUUGGGAAAAUCAGACAAUGGAAAUGGGGGACUGACCACUCUGAGAGUAGACUUGAUAGGAUUCAGCUUAUCUUGCAGUCUAGAAGAUGAGAUGAUCAUAUUGUGGAUGGGUCCUGCCAUCCCUGCAUCAGAAGUUUCAGUUUGUGGGAAGAUCGUGUCCAUGUCCUCUGUCUCCUCCUUUAGCUGGUUGCAGAGAAGUGAGAAAAGAUUAAGGAGCACAAGAAGUGCAAUUUGAUCUUUUCGAUAAGCCUCGGAAUUUGCAGCACUACUCCUCUCCAGUUGUAACUUCUCAAAUAAUGCUUCUGCUUUGAAAACAACAAUGUUAAGAAGCAAUAGGAGAAUUGAGUUUCUCACCGUGGAUUCUGUGAUCUUCUUGGCCUCAAACAACUGAUGGAGAGAUGCUACCUUGUAGUCCACUUGUUUAAUGAGAGCCAAUGCCUUAUUCCCAUAUUCUGCCUCCCAAUGCGUAAGAUUUUCCAAAAAACGUAUCAAUUUUUUAGGCAUCCAUUGGACAUCACCUUUAACAUGAUUGAGCAGAUCUUUAGUUUGGAAAGUGCUCCCUUGAUUGUUACAGAAAAGCAUUCCCUUGAGGAAAAGCUCCGUCUGAAGAAGAAAAACAUUUAUACGUAGCUCAGAAUGGCCAUGGAUAAUUUGCUCACCCUUUCGUUCCAUCUGUUUGAGGAAUUCCAUCUCUAUGAGCACCGUAUGAAUCUCUGCAAGGAAAAUUUGUAUAGUCUGAUCCUCUUCCUCCCCCUUCUCCUGUUGCUUCAGUUUGGUGAAGGCUAAAAGCUUUAACAGCCCAUAGAUCUCUCGAGAACAGAUCUCUCGAGUAUCUCUGAUCCUCACUUUAGUGGCAACAUAAUUGCUAUAAUGAGAGGAAAAAUCGGGCUUAACUCCUCCAAUUUUAUGGAGAGCCACAAGGAAAUGAAAAUGGAACUCCAUGAAUUUGGGAUUAGUAGGAUGAAUCUCAUGUUGCAAAUCCACUACAGAUUUAGUCAGCUUAAUCAUUUCUACCGUUUUGGUUGUGCCUUCGGUUUUCCCGUAGUGAAUCCGGUACUUAAUACUGUGGAUUGCAAUCCGUACCAUCACAGAUGCAACACGAGUGACGAAAUCAUUGAUAGCAUUUACAUCAUCACCACCUGCAGCAGCUGCUGCUGGGAAGUCGAGAUUCCUGGAUACACCUUCCAUGUAUUCCCCGAACAAUCUUAGCUCUUUGCGCCAGGCACCGAUUGGCUCGCUCCAUUUUGUAUCGUCCACAAUAUCGGCCAGAGUGGUUACAAAUUGUAGCCAAAAAGAAACAUCAAAUGGUGAUUGCAGUCGACACGACGACCACCCGGAUAAAUCCAAAAGGUGUUCAACAUCUUCUCCAAUCUCUUCCAUCCAUUUGAUGGAUUUACUGUAAUAAUCAUAGAGAGUUUUGCCAUUUACCGGGGAAAGCUUCAUCUGGGUGGUGUUCUUGUUUAUAAUUACAACAUGCCAACCAAUCUCCUCCGCUGCAGCUUCAAUCUUGACUCCCAUAUUAAGCAGCACGCGCUCUGCAUCUUCAUCUCUCAUCAGCUUGUGAAUUGCUUCCGAAAUUAACCUCAAAAGCUUCCAAUCUCCCAAGAUGCGAUCGCGUUGACGCCACUGUACCCGGUGACUUUUGUUUCCACGCGCAACUGCAUCGAUAAAUUUGCUACUUCCCCGUACAGCAUCCAAGAAAAAAACUAUGAUAUCAAAGCUGGAAAUAGCCAUCUCCAGGUCCAGAAUUUUGAUCUCUUACUCGAGCAUACCAGCUCUGUCUGUCAGACUGAUCUGCAUAAACACAAAUGCUUUUGAUGUAUGCAUUAGGUGAAUGGAGUCGAGUGGAGUGCUCAAUUAUUGAAACAAAUAAACCUAAAAUAGUAAUUAAUUAUUGUAACAAAUAAACUUAAAAUUAUUAUUUGGAUAAAAUUAUUAUAAUAAAUUAAUAUUUAAUAUAAAACUUGAGUGGAGUGCUUUAUUGACAAAGUUCGAACUCGAGUCCCUAGAGUUCAAAAAAUUUUGGAAAUAAUAGUAUAAUGAUUAAAUAUUUAAUUAAAUGCUCGAUAAAAUUCAUCGAGCUCUUAAGUUUUCUUAAGGAACUUGAAUUCGAUCAAUAUCGAGUUCAAUAAAGUAAUUAACUGAAUUGCUAGCGAAUUCGAGUCAAGCUGCUCAAUUAAAUCUCACCCUUAUCCCCAAUGGACCAGGGCCUCACAAUUUGAGGCAAUAUCCACUUCGGACACAUCCGGUCAAGAUCAAAUUGUGAUAAUGAGACAGCCACGAUUAUUGCAUGGGGAAAGAAAAAUCAAAAUUGAGGACUAAUGAAAAGACUAGAACUCAUUGUCCUCUCAUCAGAGAUAGAGGAGAAGAAUCAACGAUGAAGACUACUCAUUUCUGAGAAAUUUCUAACGAAAUCCAACAUAGGGAGAUAAAGUCUCAGACUCUUCAACUUUUUGGGAAGUGAAAUUUUGCAGCCCUACAAAUUCGAGAUUUAUUGAGGCUUUGCUUGUUGGUUCAUAAUUUAACAAAAAAAAACAAAAAGUUCUCAUAUCAUCAAAGUAUCAAGUAUGUUCUUGGGUUUUCAGAAUAUUCAUGGAUAUUGGAAAUUUUUUUCUUCGUUUAUUGUAAUUACAAGGGGACACAAAAGGCAUUUGGUUUUUUCCAUCCUUGUGAAGAAAUUCUCGAUAUUUAAUGACUGCUAUAAGAAGAAAAUUAGCAAAAAUGCUAACUCUCUAAUUAUCCAAAUCGAAUGGUAGAUUAGGGCUAUUAUAAUUUCUUGAUUGGCAUUGUUUGAGUUGGUCUUGUUAAAGAAGAAUUUAGAAAUCGUCAUGCCAGUGGUAUGUAUAAGAGUACGUAAAAACACCCUAAAGAAACUUGCCCCUUCUGAUUAUUUACACCAGUAGUUACAAUGGUUAAUAAAUGGGCCUUAUGCAAACAAACUUAUUAAAGAUACACUUGCAAGCUAGAGUUGGCUUGAUAUUAUGCUGGCAUGAUCAAGGAUUCUUAAUUAGGUUCGAAAAUUUUGCGCAAUAAAUUGGGUAAAAUAUCAAAAAACCUCUUGUGAUUUGCCGAGUGUUUAACUUAACUCCUUAUCGUUCGGAAACUUACAUUCUAAGCUCUCAUGGUUUUAACUAAAUUGGAAGGUGGAUAGAAACUGACUAAACUAAUGGUUGCAUCUAAAAUGUCAAAAUUGCCCUUUAUAAAUAAUAAGAUUUAAUACCAAAAAAAUCAUUUAUGGUCUGUUGAAUGUUUAACUUAAUUCUUUAUGUUUUGGAAAUCUACAUUCUAGCCUCUUGUGGGUUUAACUAAAUUGAAUUCAUUAUAUUAGCCUUCUCCUACUUCAUUCAAACAUUCUUGCUACAGCCAUUUCCCUUACUGGAAGAAUGUAGUUACUAAAGGAAUCAUUAAAAUUGUUUAUCGCGAGGAGCAAGGCUGUAGUUUCCGAAGCACAGAGAGUUAAGAAUACAUAUUAAAGAACUUAUUGAAAUUGUUUAUUACAGGGAGUUAGAAUGUAAGUUCUGAAGUUGUUAAAGCACUCAUUGAGAUUGAUUACUACGAAAGGCUAGAAUAUAGGUUUAUGAAGCAUAGAGAGCUAAGAAUGACAACGUGCCCUUCCAUUGAUAGCAUGUUCAUCAACUAAGGCAUUGCAAAAAAAAAAAAAAAAAUCAUGCAACGUGCCCUUCCAUUGAUAUGCAGGUAUGACAAGUAAUUUUAGGUUAAGAAUUUUGUUUGUUUAGCUCUCUAUGUUUCAAUUGUAUUGUUGAGUACUUCUCUCACAUACGUUAUUUGAGCAUUUGCACUCCUUUUAGGUGUGUAAAUACCAUUUUUUAGUUGGCUUGAAAAGGUCUGAAUGUUUGUUACUCUCUAUUGUUCAUUAAUAUACAUUGAUAGUUCGUCGAGCUCGAACUCAAGUUUAAAUUUGAUAAAAUUAGAUCGAAUCUCAGCUCGAUUCGAUUAAAAUUCAACUCGACUCGGUUGCAACUCUACCUAGGAGAGUAGUCCUUUAGAUUUAGUGACACUUUGUGUUUUUUGCUUUUAGGAAUGGCUAGGACAGCUUUUGGUAUUUCUUCAUGAUGCCCAAUUGGUAGAUUGCUUGUCAUACAUGAUGAAUCCAAUCUGCUGCCAGCAAUGCUCUCCAGAUAGCUCAAUUCAGCAGAACCCAUCUAGGAUUCGUUGUGGUUAAUUUUAGAUUUUUGUUACCUCUAACAAUACAAGCCGAUAUGCUUCAAAAAAAAGUCUGAUAAGAAGACCUUUUUUUGGUGUAGUGAAACACUAUUUGCCAUGAUCCUCGUACAUGUAAGCUAGCCGCUCAAAUAUGAAUAUUAUGCUGAGUACUUCAAAAUUGGAACACUUGCUUCAGCGAAUUAGGUGCUAACUUUUGAGUCAAUGGCUGUCAACAUUUGAAGAUAGAGGGAUUGAAUGCAGUACUUCAAGAAACAAAGAAAUGAAUCUGCAUGAUUAGAAUUUCUGUUUGCUUUAAGAGGUAAGAAUUACAGUAGGUAUAAUCUAGAGGACCAACAAAACCAACUUAAACAAACUGAAUUCACCUUUCCAAAGAUCUCAAGCAAUAAUUGAUUGUUGAGUAUCCAGAUUGAGCAAAACAUUCCAUUGCAUGGAAGUUGAAUUAAGAAACACAUCAUCUUACAAAUGAAUCGAGAGAAGAAUAAGUUACUGAAAUUUGAUUAUCUUACAAGUUCGAGGAGUAAUACAACAGAAUCCACAAUCAUACACUUAUCAUCUCAAAUAUGAACUACUAAUAAGCACUUUGAUGUCCCCAGUUGCUUCCCUGAUUCUUUUUGCAGACUCUUCCGCAGAUUGUCCACACCAGUGCACUUCAACCAAUUCCAGUGUGCCUAUGUCUGCAAAAUCAUAGGGGAUUUCCUCGAGGUCUUUGCAAUUUUGCAAGACAAGCCGUUCAAGUUUGGGAAGGUGAUCACAAGUGGCAUUCCAUUGAGAAAUGUUCAGAUUGUCUAACUUCAAGAAUUUAAGUUCCUUGAAGUGUUCUUCCUCCAUGUCCCAUAUCAGCCCCUCAAAGGCAUCAAGAAGUAAUCUGAGAACUUCCAGGUUGGGUAGUCUCCCAAUUGUUGAGAUAUGACUCCAUGGUAGACGAAAGUUUGAAAGAGUCAAUUUCCUCAGAUUGGAUGGGAGAAUGAAUUCCCUGGUAAUAGCGCUUCCAUAGUAAAAUACAUUGAGUGACACCAAAUGAGUUAGAAAAUCUAAUCUUGGAAACUGAUAGGAAUUCUUCGAAGAACCCUGUGGAUGAAAGAAUAUGCAUCUCAGUUUCUGAAGAUUUGGCAACCUCUUUAUUAUUGAUUCUGUAUCUUCACCACAAGAGAGAGAGAGACAGGAAAGGCUGACCAAAUCACCCAACUUACAGCAGACUUCAAGCCCUUCAUCAUCCAAUGUGAAAGCAACGUGCAUAUUCACAUGAAGAUGCCUCAACCUUGUCAUGUGCCAAAUAGUAUCUGGUAAGACAACCUGACCACGUAAUCCCUUCAAAACAAGAGUUUCUAGUUUUCGGAGAUUGCCUAUGGAUUGUGGAAUAGUUUGCAUAUAACCAGUAACUGCCAAAUACCUCAAAUGAACCAGACAUGUAAUGUCAGCAGGGAAGGUGACACCCAGGUUGAUGCAUUCAAAAUCUAACACCCGCAGAAGUUUGAAGUUGUGCCAAAUGAAUGAGAUGUCAUAAGGACAUCUGGGCUCUGAAUCAGCUGAAGGAAAGAAUAUCGAAGAACGAGUACCCAGGCCAAAAGGUCUUGAUUUAAAAAAAUGGAGUCGCUUCAAAAAAAAGCACAAUCGGUAGGCUUCAUAUGUGACAGGAUCAGAACGAUGGCCAAUUUCAAAACCAAAAUCUGAACUAGGAAAAGAUACAUAUGGCUCAUCAAACCUGGUUACUAGCCGGAAGAAGUUCUUUGCUCUGGCUUUUAACUGACAAAAAUCACGUAACAGAUCGUGCAAGCGACAUGAUUUGACCAUUCCGUUGGAUCUUCUUUUGGAGACUUCCACCAGGCUUCUGCUAAUCAACUCCAUCAAGUAACCCUCGGCAAUACCUUCUAAGCUCUUCAACUCAGAGUCAUGAAUGAAACCUUCAGCAAGCCAAAACCGUAUCAACUUGCUAACAGGAAUAUCCUUGUCUUCAAGGAAAACCCCCAAGUAAAGAAAGCACGGUUUUAGAUAUCCCGGCAAGUGUUUGUAACUCAAUUCUAAGAUUUCCAUGCACCGAGCAUUUGGAUCUUCCAUAACUUCAGCAAUCAUGCUUUUUGCAAUUUUACCCCACGAUUCUGAGCUCUUUUCUAUCCUUUGGAGGAGACCAGAUAUUGCAACAACAGCAAGAGGCAAUCCUUUACACUUUUUGGCAAUUUCCUUACCAACUAGCGACAAUUCUUCAGGACAGCCUUCACCAUGGAAUACUUUCUCUACUAAUAAGGUCCAGCUUUCAUCAUCAGAAAAUAAGCGUAGAGAAUGAGGAUCACUAUCUGGUUCAAUUUGCAAGGCCACAUCACGAAGGCGGCUCGUAAUCAAAAUUCUGCUUCCAUUGGCAUCAUCUGGGAACGAAUUUCUUAACUCAUUCCAAACUCCAGCAUCCCACACGUCAUCCAUAACAAUGAGAAACCUGUUUCUUAGUAAGCACUGACGCAAUUUUAAUUGGAGAUCUUCGUUAGUCAUUUGACGAAUUUCAUCCGUAAGCCCGAGAAUGCCACGUAAAAUCUCCCGCAGCAGUUCUCUUUUGUCAUAUUCUUGUGAAACAGUACACCAUGCACGACAAUGAAAGUGAGACAAAACCUUUUGGCAGUUAAACAGUUUCCAAGCCAUUGUUGUCUUGCCAAUACCGGGCAUUCCCACAAGAGAAACAAUGCCAAACUUUGAGGAUCCCUUGACAAGUUGAUCAGUUAUAGAUUGUUCUUCAUCUCUGGGAUCCACCACCAUUCCAUUGAUUGCUGGUGUAGCAUCCCGUGAUAUCACGUUGGGUGGAACCUGGAUGACGUGUUUGUUAUCUAGGACUUUGGUUUCAGGGGUCGUCAACUGAAUUCUAGAGGCUCGCUUAUUAACAAUUCUUAACUCCUCUAGUAGAUCAUAAACCAAAAAGAAACCCUGCCAUUGAGGAUCGACCUCAAUUGAGUCAAUGACAAACUCAAUUUUAUAAGCAAUAUUGGCAACAUGACCACCAAGAACUUUCACUGCUGGAUAGUCAUCAAUCUCCGACUCUGAGACCUUCAUGAGAAAAGAACCCAAAGACUUGAAAUGUAGAUGAAUUUCUUUUAUGUAAUUCCUGACUGGUUCAAUUGACGCAGGAUCAUCGUUCAGCAGUUCCUCUAGGUUUCUGAUGAGAAAUUCAACAAACCCUGGCUUGUAAGUCUUGGGAAAAUCAAACAAUGGAAGCUGGGGACUAAUCUCUCUGAGCUUAGACUUGAUAGGAUUCAGCUUAUCUUGCAGUUUAGAGGAUGAGAUGAUCAUAUUGUGGUUGGGUCCUGCCAUCCCUGCAUCAAAUGUUUCAGUUUGUGGGAAGAUCAUGUCCGUGUCCUCUGUCUCCUCCUUUAGCUGGUUGCUGAGAAGUGUGAAAAGAUUAAGGAGCACAAGAAGUGCAAUUUGAUCUUUUCGAUGACCCUCGGAAUUUGCACUCUCAAGUUGUAACUUCUCAAAUAAUGCUUCUGCUUUGAAAACAACAAUGUUAAGGAGCAAUAGGAAAAUUGAGUUUCUCACCGUGGAUUCUGUUAUGCUCUUGGCCUCAAACAACUGACGGAGAGAUGCUACCGUGUAGUCCGCUUGUUUAAUGAAAGCCAAGGCCUUGUUCCAAUAUUCUGCCUCCCCAUGCAGAAGAUUUCCCAAAAAACGUAUCCAUAUUUCUGGCAUCCCCUUGAGCAGAUAUUUAUUUCGGAAAGUGCUCCCUUGAAUGUUACAGUGAAGCAUCCCCUUGAGGAAAAGCUCCGUCUGGAGGAGACAAACAUUUAUACGUAGCUCACCCUUUCGUUCCGUCUGUUUGAGGAACUCCCUCUCUAUGAGCACCGUAUGAAUUUCUGCAAGGAAAUUUGGUAUAGUUUGAUCCUCCUCCUCCUCCUCCUCCUCCUGCUUCAGUUUGAUGAAGGCUAAAAGCUUUAACAGCCCAUAGAUCUCCCCAGAAGAGAUCUCCUUAGAAUAGAUCUUUGGAAUAUCUCUGAACCUCAUUUUAGAGGCAACAUAAUUGCUAUAAUGAGACAUAAAGUCGGGCUUAACUCCUCCCAUUUUUCGGAGAGCUACAAGGAAAUGGAGAUGGAAGUCCACGAACUUGGGAUUAGUUGGAUGAAUCUCAUGUUGCAGAGCCAAUACAGAUUUAGUUACCUGCUUCAUUUCCUCCCUUCUGGUUGUGCCUGCUGUUUUCCUGUCGUUAAUCCGUUGCCUAAGAGUGUGGAUUGCAAUGCGUACCAUCACAGAUGCAACACGAGUUACGAAAUCAUUGAUAGCAUUUACGUCAUCACCACCUGCUGCUGCCGCUGCUGCUGGGAAGUCGAGAUCACUGGAUACACCUUCCGUGUAUUCCCCGAACAACCUUAGCUCUUUGCGCCAGGCACCGAUUGGCUCGCUCCAUUUUGUUUCGUCCACAAUAUCGGCCAGAGUGGACACAAAUUGUAACCAAAAAGAAACAUCAGAUGGAGAUUGCAGUCGACAAGACGACCACCCGGAUGAAUCCAAAAGGUGUUCAACAUCUUCUCCGAUCUCUUCGAUCCAUUCGAUGGUUUUCCAGUAAUAAUCAUAGCAAGUUUUGGCAUUUACCGAGGAAAGAAGCUUUAUCUGGGUGUUGUUCUUGUUUGUAAUUACAACAUGCCUACCAAUCUCCUCGGCUGCAGCUUCAAUCUUGAAUCCCAUAUUAAGCAGCAUGCGCUCUGCAUCUUCAUCUCUCAUCAGCUUGUGAAUUGCUUCCCAAAUUAACCUCAAAAGCUUCCAAUCUUCCAAGAUGCGAUAGCGUUGACGCCAGUGACCUCUGUUUACACGCCAAAUUCCACCGACAAUUACAUUAUUUCUCCGUACAAAAUCCAAGAAAAAAACUAUGAUAUCAAAGCUGGAAAUAGCCAUCUCCAGGUCCAGAAUUUUGAUCUCUUACUCGAGCAUACCAGUUCUGUCUGUCAGACUGAUCUGGUAAACACAAAAGCUUUUGAUGUAUGUAUUAGGUGAAAGUUUCACCGUGAAAUGCUCUCCAUGCUUGGCUGACAUACUCGAGCUCGAUCGGCAUUUGAUGUUGAACUUGAGUUCGACUCGAUCGGGUGCUCUAUUGACAGAGUUCGACUUGUUAGAGUUCAAAAAAAUUUGGAAUAUAAUAAUAUAAUAAUUAAAUAUUUAAUUAUAGUAACAAAUAAACCUAAAAUAGUAAUUAAUUAUUGUAACAGAUAAACCUAAAAUUAUAAUUUGGAUAGCAAUGAAAAUAUAACAAAUAAAUAUUUAACAUAAAACUUGAGUGGAGUGCUCUAUUCACAAAGCUGGAACUUGAUUUGUUAGAGCUUAAAAAAUUUUGAUAAUAAUAAUAUAAUAAUUAAAUAUUUAAUUGAAUACUCAAUAGAAUUCGUCCAGCCUUCAAGUCUUCGUUAAUAGUACCCGAAUUUGAUUCGAAAACUUAAUUAGGUAACUUGAACUCGAUUCAAACUCGAUCGAUAUUGUUCGAAUUCAAUAGAGCAAUUAAUCGAACUCGAGUGAAGCUGCUCAAUUAAAUCUUACCCUUAUCCCCAGUGGACGAGGGCCUCACAAUUUGAGGCAAUAUCCAAUUCGGACAAAUCCGGUCAAGAUCGAAUUGAGAUAAUGAGACAGCCACGAUUUACUAUUUAGUGGGUCGACACCGCAGUAUCAAUUCGCAUGGGGAGGGAAAAAUCAAAAUUGAGGGCUAGUGAAAAGAAGACCGCGUUUGUAGAAUUCAUUGUCCUUCCAUUAGACAUGAUCUCUUAAUUGGCAUUGUUUAGUGGGAACGAAUUUCUUAACUCAUUCCAAACUCCAGCAUCCCACACGUCAUCCAUAACAAUGAGAAACCUGUUUCUUAGUAAGCACUGACGCAAUUUUAAUUGGAGAUCUUCGUUAGUCAUUAGACGAAUUUCAUCCGUAAGCCCGAGAAUGCCACGUAAAAUCUCCAGCAACAGUUCUCUUUUCUCAUAUACUUGUGAAACAGUACACCAUGCACGACAAUGAAAGUGAUCCAUAACAUAUGGAUGGUUAAACACUUUCCAAGCCAGAGUUGUCUUGCCAAUACCAGGCAUUCCAAUAAUGGAAACAAUGCCACGCCGUGGGGAUCCUUUGAUGAGCAGAUCAACCGCAUAUUGUUCUUCAUCUCUCAGAUCGACCACCAUUUCAUUGCUUGCUGCCCGUGAUAUCAUGUUGGGUGGAACCUGGAUGAUGUGUUUGCUACUUUGGACUCCGGCAUCCGAGGUUGUCAACUGAAUAUUAGAGGCUUGCUUAUUAACAAUCCUCAACUCCUCUAGCAGAUCAUAAACCAAAAAGAAGUGCUGCCAUUGAGCAUCAACCUCAAUUGAGUCAAUAACAUACUCAAUUUUAUAUGCUAUAUUGGCAGCACGAACACCAAGAACUUUCACUUCUGGAUUGUCAUCAAUAUCCGAGUCCAAAACUUUCAUGAGAAAGGAACCCAAUGACUCGAAAUGUGGAUGAAUCUCUUUUAUGUAAUUCCUGACUUGUUCAAUUGAUGCAGGAUCAUAUUUCAGCAGCUUCUUUAGGUUUCUGACGAGGAAAUCCAUGAACCCUGGCAUGCUAGUCUUGGGAAUAUCAGAAAAUGGAAAUUGGGGACUUAGCUCUCUAAGCUUAGUCCUGAGAUGAUUCUGAUUAACUAGCAGCUGAGAAGAUGACUUGAUCAUAUUGGUGGUGGGUCCUGUCAUCCCUGCAUCAAAAGUUUUGGUUCGUGGGAAGAUCACGUCCACGUCCUGUGUCUCCUCCUUUAGCUGGUUGUAGAGAAGUGUGAAAAGAUUAAGCCGCUCGAGUAGUGCAAUUUGAUCUUUUUGAUAAGCCACGGAAUUUGCUGCCCUACUACUCUCCAGUGUUAACUUCUCAAAUAAUGCUCCUGCUUUGAAAGCAACAAUGUUAAGAAGCAAUAGGAGAGUUGAGUUCCUCACCGUGGGUUCUGUUAUCUUCUCGGCCUCAAAUAACUGAUGGAGAUAUGCUACCUUGUAGUCCACUUGUUGAAUGAGAGCCGCAGUCUUUUUCCCAUAUUUUACCCUUCCAUGGUGUUUUUCCAAAGCAUCAUCUUUAUCACGAUUGAGCAGACCUUUAAUUUGGAAUGUGGUCCCUUGAAUGUUACGGUGAAGCAUCCCCUUGAGGAAAAGCUCCGUCUGGAGAAGACAAACAUCCAUAAGUAGAGCAGAAAGUCUAGUUUCAACUUUUCGCUGCUCCUGUUUGAGAGAUCCCGUCUCCAUGAGCACCGUAUGAACUUCUGCAAAGAAAAUUGGGAUCGUUUGAUCCUCCUCUUUCUCCUCCAGUUUGGUGAAGACUAACAUCUUUAACAGCUUGUAGAUCACUCGAUAGUUAUCUCCAAGAUCUCCGAUCCUCACUCCAGGGGCAACAUAAUUAAAAUAAUGAGAGCAAAACUUGGGCUUAACUCCUCCAAUUUUAUGGAGAGCUACAAGGAAAUGGAGAUGGAACUCCAUGAAUCUAGGGGAUCGAUCUCUUGUUGCAAAUCCACUAGCGGUUUCAUUAGCUUAAUAUCUUCUUGCUUUUUUAUUCGAACAUUCAUUUUUCUGCGGUAAAUCCGGUACUUAAAAGUGUGGAUUGCAAUGCGUACCAUUACAGAUGCAACACGAGCCAUAAAAUCAUUGAUAAUAUUUACAUCAUCACCACCUGCUGCUGCUGCUGCUGCUGCUGGGAAGUCCAGAGCCCCGAAUACAUUUGCCAAGUAUACUCGGAUGAAGUCUAGCUUUUCCAGCGGGGCUGAGAAUGGCAGGCCCCUCCUCGUACUCACCACAGUAUCGGCUAGAGGGAAUACAAAUGAGAACCAAAAAGAAACAUCAGAUGGUGAUUCCAGCCGACACGACGACCUCCCGGAUAAAACCAAAAGGUGUUCAACAGCUUCUCCGAUCUCUUCGAUCACAUUGCAGAUUUUCUUGUAAUAAUGUUGGAGAAUUUCGUCGUCCACCGGGGACAGCUUCAUCUUGUUGUUGUCUGUAAUUAGCAAUUCCCGGCCAAUCUCCUGGGCUGCAGCAUCGAUCUUGAAUCCCAUAUCAAGCAGCACCCGCUCUGCAUGUUCAUCUCUUACCAGCUUGUGAAUUGCUUCCCAAAUAGAGCUAAAAAGCUCCCAAUCCGAGAUGGUUACAAGUACGAGUGUACGUCCUGGUAACGCAUGCAAGAAGAUAUCUAUGAUAUCCCAGCCGGGAAUACCCAUCUCCAGCUCCAGAAUUUCGAUCUCUUACUUGAGCAAGAAUACCAAGAUCUGUCUAUCAGACUGGUCUGUCUGUGUAAACAGAAAUUCUUCAAAUGGAGUAGCAGCUAUGCAAGCACUUGGAUCUUCGGUUACAUGUUUUCUAUGCCAACCCAAUGCCACCUCUAGCAUUGCGCCAAAUAUCCUAUUAUUAUUUGCACUCUAAUUUUCUAAUAAUUCAAAUUGAUUUGGUUUAACACAAACUUUCUCUACCCUCUAAAACUUUGAACCAAAAUUAACUGGUCGGUCUAAUUCAUAUACCAAUACUUUCAUCAUUGAUUGCCUUCAAACUCUUUCAACGUAGAUUGCUUUAAAAGAGCUGAAAAGAUAAAAGUCCUUGAGAGUAGUGGUAUCAUCUCCACUCCGAUGAGGUCCACACUUCAAUGACGUCGUCCUUUUGAUUCCUCCACCAACUCCGCCAUUCCACGUGGCUACAGUAUUUAUUUCAAAUAACCUCCUUUCUCUUUUGAUCGUUAUUUAGCUUCAAAUAACCUCCUUUCUCUUUUGAUCGCUGCUGUAAAUAUAUUUGAUUGUUGAAUAAUUGCAAAAGAAUGCGUGGUUGAACUGUUAUGAGUUCGCCCAGUGAAAACAUUUUGAUCGUGAUGUGAAUUACGUUUAGAGACAAAGCCUUGGAAGAAACUUGUUUAGUUAAUAAGUAGUUGCUGGACGUUCACUUCACUGGUUAUCGUUUAUACAUUUAAGAGUCAAUUAAAUAUUGAUAUCUUUAGCUUACAACAAAAUGGGGGAGAUUUACAUUGUUGAUUACUAUUAUUACAAGUUGUAAGCCAGUAUUACUCUAGUUGGUUUACAAGCAAUUCUUGGACAUUCAAAUUAGCUGAUCAGUAGUUAUUAACUUAACACUUUUUUAAGUGCUGCCCAAUCCUAUUACCUUACAAUUAUUUGUUGGACAUUGAGCUUUUUUUUUUCUUUUUUUUUUGGGACAUUGGUUACCACACGGGCCUUAUGCAUAUCCAAACAAGCUUAUAGAAAUCAUUCAUGACGCUGAUCCUUGACUUUUACCCCAUGGACAAGAAUCAGGUGGAAUUCCAUGUAGGUUUUGAUAAUACAAGAUUAACGAGGGUGAUAAUUGUUUUUGUAAUACAGGGGAUGAACAGCAUUGGGAAGCAGAUAAUGGAUAUUCAAUGAACUUUUUUUUAUUUGAAUGAUGUAAAUUGUGAAACAUAAGACACCCAUUUACCCUGGAUUUGGAGCCCUCCGGUUUAAACCAGUUGUGCAGAUCUAACAACAUUUGGUGUAAACUCGUACAAUUUCAAUGAAAUUAUGAUUUUUUUUUACACAAAUUUAGUUGCAUAAAUCACAAGCUCAAGUUUUACACUAAAGUUGUAUGAAUUUAUACCAAAUGGAGUAGUAAAGACACAACUAAUUUGAAAUGGAAAACAACUCAAUUUGUAAAGUCCCGAAUCCUAUUUACCAGUACAAGGAUAUGGUUCUAUUGGUUAACGUUAAAUUGUAAGUUGUUGACAUUCAAAAGAUGAACUAGAUGGUGGCACUGGAGCAAUCUAGAUGAUGUACGUUAGAUGAAUUUUUUUGUUACACGUUGCAAGUUUUAAAACCCAAAAGAUGUGCAAUCAGAACUAAAUUGUCUCGAAGAGAAGAUCGACAAACUAAACCUACUAGAAAAAAAAAAAAGGAAUUAUUCUAAUGGGUAUUCAAUGGAUACUCGUUAAUACAGUUAAUGGCUGCCUCGUUGGACAGACUCAAAAAGAAAUAUUACGGCCCAAGCAAGAGGACCAAACUUGGAGUACAGAAGUAUGAUUUAAUACCAAAAUGGACAAAAAGUUAACUGAAUCACACAACUAAGCCACCUAAAAAAAGUGUUUUCAUUUUUGUAACUCUUCCAGUAUCUGUAGAGUGACAAGGGUAAAGUGUCAUAAAAUGUGUGCUAAGUAGGUAUCUAUACAAUAAUAAAGGGAGAAAGGUGGGGGUUGGGGUAAAUAUUUUGUGUCAUUCUUUCAACUUUUAAUUUUGCCCUUAAAAAUUUAAUUUUUAUCCUAAUAACCUAAUCACAUCUGCUAAUAUAAUCUCUCAUAACUCCCAGUGAUAAUGAUAAAUUAAGUUUUUUUUAAUAUAAUUGAGAGGUUUCGAACUUGACAUCUCACAUAACUCUCUUAAAUAUUGUAACUACCAAAUUAACUAUGACUGUAUUAAAGAAAAAAUUAAUAAUAAAUUGUAAUUUUUUUUUGAAGAAUUUAUGUAAAAUUUAAUUUUGUAAACAUAAAAUUAAUAUAUUCAUAAAAAUUAAAAAUUAUUUCUAAACUGCACACAGAUUGGGUGCUCUCUUAAUAAGAACUAGUGUAUGACUUCUAUCAAAUUAUUAUGAAGGGAAUGAAUUAUGAUUAUUCAUUAAAUCAGGCGCGACAAUGUACCACUCUUUCUAUUGAGCGCGUAAUCACGCAAAGUAUGUAAUUCUACAGAACUUUCUCCUUCAUUGUUAAAUUGCCUUUUCAAUACUUUCCCAAAAAUAUAUUCCUUGGUUUUUUGUUAAAUAACAUGCCGUCUGGGUCCAUCCCAUCCCAACUUUAGCUUUUUCUUUUUCUUUUUUUUUUCUUUCUUUUUCCUUUUUCUUUUUAAAAAGAGGAUCAAUAAUUCCCAACUUUAGCUUUUUUCUUUUCUUUCUUUUUCCUUCUCCUUAUAAAAAAGAUGAUCAAUAAUUCCCAACUUGAGCUUAAAGACUCACUAUUUUUCAAAGGAAAAUGAUAUUCAGUCCGAUCGGAUCAAGCCGUCCAGCAGGCACGAAAUUAUGAAAUUGCAACUUUUAAGGCUUGAAGAGGACAUGGUGGCCGUGGUAGCCUGAAGAGAACAUGUGAAUCCCAAAUUAACUGAAAAAUUGCCCAUUUUAAUCAUAUUUUGCUCCUUUUCCUACAAUUAGCAUCAUUAACCAAAUAUAAGUAGAAUCAAUCAAUUAAAACAAUAUUUAGCUAAAAUUAUGGGAAAAAUAAUCAUAAAUUAAAUAGCAAUUCUACACCUUAUCACCAUUUCGUCAAAAUUUUCGAGGGUAUACCACAAAGAAAAUUAUGCUGUCAAUUUCUUAGGGACGAGAAACGUAGAUGAGUCAAGUGUUUUUAGAUGUUUCGAUCAGAUAAUUAUAUCAUCAAAGCAGAAAGACAACAUGAACUCCGUCCUCGAGUUCAGAAUACUUAGAGCCUGUUUAGAUUAUCAUUUUUUAGAGUUUUUGUAGAAAAAUAUGCUGUGACGAUGUAAUGUGUAAGAGAUAAAAAUAUGAUUAAAAAAUGUAUUUAUGAAAAAACGUAAAAAAUUUUUUUAAAAAAAAAAUAGCAAUCCAAAAUUAUGAGUUCAAGCAAAAGAUUUCCAUUUUGACACCCCAAUGAUUAAGACAAAUUUCACUAGAGGUGGAUUUACACAGACAUCUAUUAGUGUUGUAACUUAACAGAAACAGCAUGUAAAACUAUCAAAAAACCUCUUGCUUCAACUAUUUAGUUUCCUUGUAACUUCUGUAUGGAGAGCCUUUUCAAUAAAAUGAAAAUCUUAAUUUGCCUAGCAUAGUUGUGUUGCUUAUUUUGCUUCUCGAUAUCAUUUUAACACCUAUAAAAGUAAGGACUAUUUAUUUUCUCAACAACUCUUAAUAAAACAAAAAUCUUAAUUUGUUUAGAGCCGCAGUUGCUGCACUCUUAAUAAAACAAAACGUUCCAUUUUAUCAUCAAAUUGAUUGAAAACCUUGAUAUUUUUCAGCCAGUCACAUGUCCUCAACUAUUAAAAUAGAUAUCAUCUUACAGAUGAAUCAGUAAAGAAUGAGUUGCUGAAACGUUAUUGCCUUGACAAGUUCAUGGAAGAGUACAACAUAAUCCACAAUCAAACUCAUGAUCUCAAAUAUGAACUACUAAUAAGGACUUUGGUAUCCCCAGUUGCUUCCGCAAUUCUUUGUGCAGACUCUUCUACAGAUUGUCCGCACCAGUGCACUUCAAUCACUUCCAGUUACCCGUGUCUGCAAAAUCAUAGGGGAUUUCCAAAGAUCUCAAGCAAUAAUCGAUAGUUGAGUAUCCAGAUUGAGCAAAACAUUCCAUUGCAUCAAUUAGUUGGAAGUUGAAUUAAGAAACACAUCAUCUCACAAAUGAAUCGAGAGAAGAACAAGUUACUGAAAUUUGAUUAUCUUACGAGUUCGGGGAGUAAUACAACAUAAUCCACAAUCAUACUCUUAUCAUCUCAAAUAUGAACUACUAAUAAGCACUUUGAUGUCCCCAGUUGCUUCCCUGAUUCUUUUUGCAGACUCUUCUGCUGAUUGUCCACACCAGUGCACUUCAAUCACUCCCAGUGUAACUAUGUCUGCAAAAUCAUAGGGGAUUUCCUCGAGGUAUUUGCAAUUUUGCAAGACAAGCCGUUCAAGUUUGGGAAGGUGAUCACAAGUAGCAUUCCAUUGAGAAACGUUCAGAUUGUCUAACUUCAAGAAUUUGAGUUCCUUGAACUGAUCUUCCUCCAUGUCCCAUAUCAGGCCCUCAAAGGCAUCAAGAAGUAAUUUGAGAACUUCCAGGUUGGGCAGUCUCCCAAUUGUUGAGAUAUGACUCCAUGGCAGAUGAAAGUUUGAAAGAGUCAAUUUCCUCAGAUUGGAAGGCAGAAUGAAUUCCCUGGUAAUAGCGCUUCCAUAGUAAAAUACAUUGAGUGACACCAAAUGAGUUAGACAAUCUAAUCUUGGAAACUGAUAGGAAUUCUUCGAAUAACCCUUUGGAUGAAAGAAUAUGCAUCUCAGUUUCUGGAGAUUUGGCAACCUCUUUGUUAUUGAUUCUGUAUCUUCACCACAAGAGAGAGAGAGACGGGAAAAGCUGACCAAAUUUCCCAACUGAGAGCAGCCUUCAAGCCCUUCAUCAUCCAAUUUGAAAGCAACAUGCAUAUUCACAUGAAGAUGCCUCAAUCUUGUCAUGUGCCAAAUAGUAUCUGGUAAAACAACCAGACCACGUAAUACCUUCACAACAAAAGUUUCUAGUUUUUGGAGAUUGGCAAUGGAUUGUGGAAUAGUUUGCAUAUAUCCAGCAACUGCCAAGUAUCUCAAAUGGACCAGUAACGAAAUGUCAGCAGGGAAGGUGAUACCCAGGUUGAUGCAUUCAAAAUCUAACACCCGCAGAAGUUUGAAGUUAUGACAAAUGAAUGAGAUGUCAUAUGGACUUCUGGGCUCUGAAUCAGCGGAGGGGAAGAAUAUCAAAGAACGAGUGCCCAGGCCAAAAGGUCUUGAUACAACAAAAUGAACUCGCUUCAAGAAAAUGCACAAUCGGUAGGCCUCAUAUGUUACAGGAUCAGAAUGAUGACCAAAAUCAAGUUCAAAACCAAAAUCUGAGCGAGGAAAAGAAAUAUAUGGCUCAUCAAACCUGGUUACUGGCCGGAAGAAGUUCUCUGCUCUGGCUUUUAACUGACAAAAAUCACGUAACAGAUCAUGCAAACGACAUGAUUUGACCAUUCCGUUGGAUCUUCUUUUGGAGACUUCCACCAGGCUUCUGCUAAUCAACUCCAUCAAGUAACCUUCAGCAAUAACUUCUAAGCUCUUCAACUCAGAGUCAUGAAUGAAACCUUCAGCAAGCCAAAACCGUAUCAACUUGCUAACAGGAAUGUCCUUGUCUUCAAGGAAAACUCCCAAAUACAGAAAGCACGGUUUUAGAUAUCCCGGUAAGUGUUUAUAACUCAAUUCUAAGAUUUCCAUGCACUGAGCUUUUGGAUCUUCCAUAACUUCCGCAACCAAGCCUUUUGCAAUUUUCCCCCACGAUGCUCUGCUCUUUUCUGUCUUUUGGAGGAGACCAGAUAUUGCAACAACAGUAAGAGGCAAUCCUUUACACUUUUUGGCAAUUUCUUUUCCAACAAGCAACAAUUCUUUGGGACAACCUUCACCAUGGAAUACUUUCUCUACUAAUAAGUUCCAACUUUCAUCAUCAGAAAAUAAGCGUAGAGAAUGAGGAUCAAUAUCUGGUUCAAUUUUCCAGGCCACAUCAUGAAGGCGGCUCGUAAUCAAAAUUCUGCUUCCAUUGGCAUCAUCAGGGAAUGCAUUUCUUAACUCAUUCCAAACUCCAGUAUCCCACACGUCAUCCAUAACGAUGAGAAACCUGUUUCUUAGUAAGCACUGAUGCAAUUUUAAUUGGAGAUCUUCGUCAGUCAUUUGCCGAAUUUCUUCCGUAAGCCUGAGAAUGCCACGUAAAAUCUCCAGCAGCAGUUCUCUUUUGUCAUAUUCUUGUGAAACAGUACACCAUGCACGACAAUGAAAGUGAGACAAAACCUUUUGGCAGUUAAACAGUUUCCAAGCCAUUGUUGUCUUGCCAAUACCGGGCAUUCCCACAAGAGAAACAAUACCAAACUUUGAGGAUCCCUUGACAAGUUGAUCAGUUAUAGAUUGUUCUUCAUCUCUGGGGUCCACCACCAUUCCAUUAAUUGCAGGUGUAGCAUCCCGUGAUAUCACGUUGCGUGGAACCUGGAUGACGUGUUUGUUAUCUAGGACUUUGGCUUCAGGGGUCAACUGAAUUCUAGAGGCUCGCUUAUUAACAAUUCUUAACUCCUCUAGUAGAUCAUAAACCAAAAAGAAACCUUGCCAUUGAGGAUCGACCACAAUUGAGUCAAUGACAAACUCAAUUUUAUAAGCAAUAUUGGCAACAUGACCACCAAGAACUUUCACUUCUGGAUUGUCAUUAUUAUCCAAAGACUCUGAGACUUUCAUGAGAAAAGAACCCAAAGACUUGAAAUGUAGAUGAAUUUCUUUUAUGUAAUUCCUGACUGGUUCAAUUGACGCAGGAUCAUAGUUCAGCAGUUCCUCCAGGCUUCUGAUGAGAAAUUCAACGAACCCUGGCUUGUAAGUCUUAGGAAAAUCAAACAAUGGAAAUUGGGGACUAACCACUCUGAGCUUAGACUUGAUAGGAUUCAGCUUAUCUUGCAGUCUAGAAGAUGAGAUGAUCAUAUUGUGGAUGGGUCCUGCCAUCCCUGCAUCAGAAGUUUCAGUUUGUGGGAAGAUCACGUCCACGUCCUGUGUCUCCUCCUUUAGCUGGUUGCAGAGAAUUGUGAAAAGAUUAAGAAGCACAAGAAGUGCAAUUUGAUCUUUUCGAUGAGCCUUGGAAUUUGCUGCCCUACUACUACUCUCAAGUUGUAACUUCACAAAUAAUGCUUCUGCUUUGAAAACAACAAUGUUAAGAAGCAAUAGGAGGAUUGAGUUUCUCACCGUGGAUUCUGUUAUCUUCUUGGCCUCAAACAACUGAUGGAGAGAUGCUGCCUUGUAGUCAACUUGUUUAAUGAGAGCCAAUGCCUUAUUCCCAUAUUCUGCCUCCCAAUGCGUACGAUUUUCCAAAAAACGUAUCAAUUUUUUAGGCAUCCAUUGGACAUCACCUUUAACAUGAUUGAGCAGAUCUUUAGUUCGGAAAGUGCUCCCUUGAUUGUUACAGAAAAGCAUUCCCUUGAGGAAAAGCUCCGUCUGAAGAAGAAAAACAUUUAUACGUAGCUCAGAAUGGCCAUGGAUAAGUUGCUCACCCUUUCGUUCCAUCUGUUUGAGGAAUUCCAUCUCUAUGAGCACCGUAUGAAUUUCUGCAAGGAAAAUUUGUAUAGUCUGAUCCUCUUCCUCCCCCUCCUCCUGUUGCUUCAGUUUGGUGAAGGCUAAAAGCUUUAACAGCCCAUAGAUCUCUCGAGAACAGAUCUCUCGAGUAUCUCUGAUCCUCACUUUAGUGGCAACAUAAUUGCUAUAAUGAGAGGAAAAAUCGGGCUUAACUCCUCCAAUUUUAUGGAGAGCCACAAGGAAAUGAAAAUGGAACUCCAUGAAUUUGGGAUUAGUAGGAUGAAUCUCAUGUUGCAAAUCCACUACAGAUUUAGUUAGCUUAAUCAUUUCUACCGUUUUGGUUUUGCCUUCGGUUUUCCCGUAGUGAAUCCGGUACUUAAGACUGUGGAUUGCAAUGCGUACCAUCACAGAUGCAACACGAGUGACGAAAUCAUUGAUAGCAUUUACAUCAUCACCACCUGCAGCAGCUGCUGCUGGGAAGUCGAGAUUCCUGGAUACACCUUCCAUGUAUUUCCCGAACAAUCUCAGCUCUUUGCGCCAGGCACCGAUUGGCUCGCUCCAUUUUGUAUCGUGCACAAUACCGGCCAGAGUGGUUACAAAUUGUAACCAAAAAGAAACAUCAGAUGGUGAUUGCAGUCGACACGACGACCACCCGGAUAAAUCCAAAAGGUGUUCAACAUCUUCUCCAAUCUCUUCCGUCCAUUUGAUGGUUUUACUGUAAUAAUCAUAGAGAGUUUUGCCAUUUACCCGGGAAAGCUUCAUCUGGGUGUUGUUCUUGUUUAUAAUUACAACAUGCCCACCAAUCUCCUCGGCUGCAGCUUCAAUCUUGAAUCCCAUAUUAAGCAGCACGCGCUCUGCAUCGAUAAAUUGCUUGUGAAUUGCUUCCGAAAUUAACCUCAAAAGCUUCCAAUCUCCCAAGAUGCGAUCGCGUUGACGCCAGUGUACCCGGUGACUUUUGUUUCCACGCGCAACUGCAUCGAUAAAUUUGCUACUUCCCCGUACAGCCUCCAAGAAAAAAACUAUGAUAUCAAAGCUGGAAAUAGCCAUCUCCAGGUCCAGAAUUUUGAUCUCUUACUCAAGCAUACCAGUUCUGUCUGUCAGACUGAUCUGCGUAAGCACAAAUGCCUUUGAUGUAUGUAUUAGGUGAAACGCUCUCCUCGAAUGAAUGGGUCAAGUCCAUGCUUGGCUGACUUACUCCAGCGGAGUGCUCAAUUAUUGUAACACGUAAACCUAAAAUAGUAAUUACCCCUCAACGUUAUUUUUUAGUCAUUUUACCUCCAAAACUAACGAUUAAAUUUAACGAAAUUUGUUAAUUAAAGUGAAAAGAUAUGUUUAACCCUUAAAAUUAUUAUCACUUUACCCCCAUAAAAUAUAAUCUCAUUAUCAAUUUACCCAAUAGAAUUAUUUUUUAGACAAUUUAUCCUACAAUUAAACCAAUUUAGUAAGUUAAAAACUUUAGAAAAAAAUACCCUCCUCUUUGCAUAAUAAAAAUAACAAAAAAUUUAGAGUGACUCUUCUUUUUUUUAGUAUCAAGAAAAAAGUUAAAGUAUUAUUUUUUUUCUUGGCAAUCUUAUUAAUAUUGAAAAAAAUAGAAAGAUGGAGAGGGGGAGGGGGAGGAGGAGAGGGAGAGGGGGAGAGAGAGCUCAAUUCUUUUUUUAAAAAUUACAAAUAAGAAAGAAUUAAAUACUUUUAUUAUUUUAAAAUUAUUUCACUUUUUUGUUUACCACCAAAUUCCAAUCCUAAUCUCGACAACUUUAAAGUAAUACAAUAAUGUUAAACUUUUCUUUUUUUUUUUUGCAAAAUCUAAUUUUUUGUCUCCUUCUUUUCUAUCUCUUUUUCUUUUCCUAGUAUUAAUAAAUAUGAAAAAAGAAAUUUGAUAAAACCCUUUUAUUUUUAUGUUUUUCGAUCUCUUAAAGUGAAAAAAAGGAAGAAUAGCCAUUCCAACUUUUUUAUUUUUAAUUAUAUAUAAAAAAGGGUAAAUAUAUUUAAAAAUUUUUGACCAUACUAGUUUGAUUAACAAUGAAGUAAAAUACAUAGUAACUAAUAUUAGGAACUAAAGUGAUUGUAUCACUAUAAUCUAAACGAAUAAAGUGAUAAUAACAAUGUAGUAAUGCUAUAAAAUAAAAGCGUAUUUUUGUCCAAUAUUUCUUAACAAAUCGAGUUGAAUUACUUAUGGGGGUAAAGUGACUAAAAAAUAACGUUAAGGGGUAAACUGAUAGUAAUAAUAUAUUUUAAGGGGUUAAAGUGAUAAUAGCCCAUUAAUUAUUGCAACUGAUAAACCUAAAAUUAUAAUUUGGAUAGCAAUGAAAAUAUAACAAAUAAAUAUUUAACAUAAAACUUGAGUGGAGUGCUCUAUUCACAAAGCUGGAACUCGAUUUGUUAGAGCUUAAAAAAUUUUGAAAAUAAUAAUAUAAUAAUUAAAUAUUUAAUUAUUGUAACAAAUAAACCUAACAUUGUAAUUUGGAUAAUAAUAAUAUAAUAAUUAAAUAUUUAAUUGAAUACUCAAUAGAAUUCGUCCAGCCUUCAAGUCUUCGUUAAUAGUACCCGAAUUUGAUUCGAAAACUUAAUUAGGUAACUUGAAUUUGAUUCAAACUCGAUCGAUAUUGUUCGAAUUCAAUAGAGCAAUUAAUCGAGCUCGAGUGAAGCUGCUCAAUUAAAUCUUACCCUUAUCCCCAGUGGACGAGGGCCUCACAAUUUGAGGCAAUAUCCAAUUCGGACAAAUCCGGUCAAGAUCAAAUUGUGAUAAUGAGAAAGCCACGAUUUAAUAUUUAGUGGGUCGACAACGCAGUAUCAAUUCGCACGGGGAGGGAAAAAUCAAAAUUGAGGACUAAUGAAAAGACCGCGUUUGUAGAACUCAUUGUCCUCUCUUUAGAGAUGGAGGGGGAAAAAAUCAACGAUAAAGACUGCUCAGAUUCUUCCAACGAAAUCCAAACAUAGGGAGAUAAAGUCUCAGACUCUUCAACUUUUUGGGAGUGAAAAUUUGCAGUCCUAACAAAUUCGAGAUUUAUUGAGGCUUUGCUUGUUGGUUCAUAAUUUAACAGAAAAUUUUUUUUUUUCUCAUAUCAUCAAAGUAUCAAGUAUGUUCUUGGGUUUAGCAGCUGUAGAUAUAUUUGAUUUUUCAACAAUUGCAAAAGAAUUGCCAGUGGUUGAACUGUUAUGAGUUCGCCCAGUGAAAACUUUUUGAUCGUGAUGUGAAUUGCUUUUAGAUACAAAACUUUGGAAGAAACUUGUUCAUUGCUUUAUUCCAUUUUGGUUAGCUUAUAAGUAGUUGUUGGGCAUUCACACUACUGGUUAUCAUUUAUGCACGCAACUGCUCUGCCCGCCAACAUUUCACGAUAGAGAAAUAAUCUGCAGUUCUGUAAGAAACACUGAAAUUGAUAUCUGAAACCGGAAUUUCAAUUUGCUAAAUGCAGUUAAGAGUUUUACUAGAUAUAUUCUCGAGUAUGAAAACCAGCUUAAAGCAAAACGAAAUCAAUUUUUCUAAACAUCUCAAACAAAAAUCUAGCAGAUUACUUUAAAGCCAACCAAAAUCUGCAUGAUUAGAAUUUCAGUUUGCUUUAAGAGGUUAGGAUUACAGUAGGUGUAAUCCAGAGGACCAACUUGAACAAAUUGAAUUCACCUUUCCAAAGAUCUCAGCAAUAAUUGAUAGUUGAGUGUCCAGAUUGAACAUCCAUUAGUUUGAAGUUGAAUUAAGAAACACAUCAUCUCACAAAUGAAUCGAGAGAAGAAUAAGUUACUGAAAUUUGACUAUCUUACAUGUUCGGGGAGUAAUACAACAGGAUGCACAAUCAUACUCUUAUCAUCUCGAAUAUGAACUACUAAUAAGCACCUUGAUGUCCCCAGUUGCUUCCCUGAUUCUUUUUGCAGACUCUUCUGCAGAUUGUCUGCACCAGUGCACUUCAAUCAAUUCCAGUGUGCCUAUGUCUGCAAAAUCAUUCGGGAUUUCCUCGAGGUCUUUGCAAUUUUGCAAGACAAGCCGUUCAAGUUUGGGAAGGUGAUCACAAGUAGCAUUCCAUCGACAAAUGUUCAGAUCGUCUAACUUCAAGAAUUUAAGUUCCUUGAACUGUUCUUCCUCCAUUUCCCAUAUCAGCCCCUCAAAGGCACCAAGACGUAACUUGAGGACUUCCAGGUUGGGUAGUCUCCCAAUUGUUGAGAUGUGGCUCCAUGGUAGGUGAAAGUUUGAAAGAGUCAAUUCCCUCAGAUUUGGUGGGAGAACGAAUUCACUUGUGAUGGCUCUCCCAAAGUAAAAUACAUUGAGCGACACCAAAUGAGCAAGAGAAUCCAGUUUUGGAAACUGUCCACAAUUCUUGGAAGAAUCCCGUGGGUGAAAGAAUAUGCAUUUCAGUUUACGAAGAUUUGGCAACCUCUUCACUAUGUUCUCUGUAUCUUCAGCACAAGAAAGAGAGAGACGGGAAAAGCUAACCAAAUUUCCCAACUCACAGCAGCCGCCAAACUCUUUAUCACCCAACUUGAAAACAACAUGCAUGUUCACAUGGAGAUGCCUCAACCUUGCCAUGCUCCACAUAUUGUCUGGUAAGACAACCUGGCCACGUAACCCCUUCACAACAAAAGUUUCCAAUUUUCGGAGAUUGGCUAUGGAUUGUGGAAUAGAACGCAUAUACCCACUAACCGCCAAAUACCUCAAAUGAACCAAUAGUCCUAUUUUAACAGGAAAGGUAAUACCAAUGUUGAUCAUUUCAAAAUCCAACGUGCGCAGAAGUUUGAAGUUGCGACAAAUGAAUGAGAUGUCGUAAGGACAUCUAGGCUCUGAAUCAGUUGAGGGAAAGAAUAUUAUAGAACGGGUGCCCAGCCCGGAAGGUACUGAUUCAAAAAAAUGAACUCGCUUCAAAAAUAUGCACAACCGAUAGGAUUCAUAUGUUACGCGAUCAGAAUAAUGGCCAAAAUCGAAUUCAAAACCAAAAUCUGAGCUGGGAAAAGAAGCAUAUGGCUCAUCAGACCUGGUUAUUAACUUGAAAAAGUUCUCUUCUUUGGCUUUUAAAUGACAAAAAUCACGUAACAGAUCAUGCAAGCGGCAAGUUUUCACCUCUCCAUUGGAUUUUUUUUUGGAGAUUUCCACCAGGCUUCUGCUAAUCAACUCCAUCAAGUAACCUUCAGCAAUACAUUCCAAGCUCUUCAACUCAGAGUCAUGGAUGAAUCCUUCAGCAAGCCAAAGCCGUAUCAACUUGCUAAUUGGAAUAUCCUUGUCUUCAAGGAAAACUCCCAAAUAAAGAAAGCACGGUUUUAGAUAUCUUGGUAAGUGUUUGUAACUCAAUUCUAAGAUUUCCAUGCACCGAGCUUUUGGAUCUUCCAUAACUUCAGCAAUCAAGCUUUUUGCAAUUUUGCCCCACGAUUCUGAGCUCUUUUCUAUCCUUUGGAGGAGACCAGAUAUUGCAACAACAGCAAGAGGCAAUCCUUUACACUUUUUGGCAAUUUCCUUACCAACUAGCGACAAUUCUUCAGGACAGCCUUCACCAUGGAAUACUUUCCCUACUAACAAGUUCCAACUUUCAUCUUCAGAAAGUAAGCGUAGAGAAUGAGGAUCACUAUCUGGUUCAAUUUGUAAGGCCACAUCACGAAGGCGACUCGUAAUCAAAAUUCUGGUUCCAUUAGCGUCCUCUGGGAGUGAAUUUCUUAACUCAUUCCAAACUCCAGCAUCCCACACGUCAUCCAUAACAAUGAGAAACCUGUUUCUUAGUAAGCACUGAUGCAAUUUUAAUUGGAGAUCUUCGUUAGUCAUUAGACGAAUUUCAUCCGUAAGCCCGAGAAUGCCACGUAAAAUCUCCAGCAACAGUUCUCUUUUCUCAUAUACUUGUGAAACAGUACACCAUGCACGACAAUGAAAGUGAUCCAUAACAUAUGGAUGGUUAAACACUUUCCAAGCCAGAGUUGUCUUGCCAAUACCAGGCAUUCCAAUAAUGGAAACAAUGCCACGCCGUAGGGAUCCUUUGAUGAGUUGAUCAAUCACAUAUUGUUCUUCAUCUAUGAGGUCGACCACCAUUUCAUUGAUUGCUGCCCGUGAUAUCAUGUUGGGUGGAACCUGGAUGAUGUGUUUGCUACUUAGGACUCUGGCAUCUGAGGUUGUCAACUGAAUACUAGAGGCUUGCUUAUUAACAAUCCUUAACUCCUCUAGCAGAUCAUAAACCAAAAAGAUGUGCUGCCAUUGAGCAUCACUCUCAAUUGAGUCAAUAACAUACUCAAUUUUAUAAGCUAUAUUGGCAGCACGAACACCAAGGACCUUCACUUCUGGAUUGCCAUCAAUAUCCGACUCCGAAACUUUCAUGAGAAAGGAACCCAAUGAGUCGAAAUGUACAUGAAUCUCUUUUAUGUAAUUCCUGACUUGUUCAAUUGAUGCAGGAUCAUAUUUCAGCAGCUCCUUUAGGUUUCUGACGAGGAAAUCCAUGAACCCUGGCAUGCAAGUCUUGGGAAUAUCAGAAAAUGGAAAUUGGGGACUUAGCUCUCUAAGCUCAGUCCUGAUAUGAUUCUGCUUGUCUAGCAGCUGUGAAGAUGGCGUGAUCAUAUUGAUGAUGGGUCCUGUCAUCCCUGCAUCAAAAGUUUCAGUUUGUGGGAAGAUCACGUCCAUGUCCUGUGUCUCCUUCUUUAGCUGGUUGCAGAGAAGUGUGAAAAGAUUAAGCCGCGCGAGUAGUGCAAUUUGAUCUUUUCGAUAAGCCAUGGAAUUUGCUGCCCUACUAUUCUCAAGUGAUAACUUCUUAAAUAAUGCUUCUGCUUUGAAAGCAACAAUGUUAAGAAGCAAUAGGAGAAUUGAGUUCCUCACCGUGGGUUCUGUUAUCUUCUUGGCCUCAAAUAACUGAUGGAGAGAUGCUACCUUGUGGUCCAUUUGUUGAAUGAGAGCCGCAGUCUUAUUCCCAUAUUCUGCCUCAUAUUCUGCCUUUCCAUGCGGAUGUUUUUCCAAACAUUUUAUCAAUUCUUUUGUCAUCCAAUAAACAUCAUCUUUAGCACGAUUGAGUAGAUCUUUAAUUUGGAAAGUGAUCCCUUGAAUGUUACGGUGAAGCAUCCCCUUGAGGAAAAGCUCCGUCUGGAGAAGACCAACAUUUAUUCGCAGCUCGGAAAGUCUAGGCUCAACAUUUUGCCGCCUCAGUUUGAGAGAUCCCGUCUCCAUGAGCACCGUAUGAAAUUCUGCAAAGAAAAUUGGCAUCGUCUGAUCGUCCUCCUUCUCCUCCAGUUUGGUGAAGACUAAAAGCUUUAACAGCUCAUGGAUCACUAGAUAAUAGUUGCCUCCAAGAUCUCCGACCCUCACUCUAGGGGCAACGUAAUUGCAAUAACGAAAGCAAAAAUCGGGCUUAACUCCAAUUUUAUGGAGAGAUACAAGGAAAUGGAGAUGGAACUCCAUGAAUCUGGGAUUAGUAGGAUCGAUCUCAUGUUGCAAAUCCACUAGAGGUUUCAUUAGCUUAAUCCUUUCUUCCUCUUUGAUUCGGUCGUUCGUUUUUCUGCAGUAAAUCUGGUACUUAAAAGCGUGGAUUGCAAUGCGUACCACCACAGAUGCAACACGAGUCACGAAAUCAUUGAUAAUAUUUACAUCAUCACCACUUGCUCCUGCUGCUGCUGCUGCUGGGAAGUCGAGAUCCCUGAAUACAUCUUCCAUGUAAUUCCGGAUCAAGCGUAGCUCUGCCACCAGGGCAUCGACUGGCUCGCCCCACCGCAUACUCGCCACAAUCCCGGCUAGAGUGGCUAAAAAUUUUAACCAAAAAGAAACAUCAGAUGGUGAUUGCAGUUGGCACGACGACCUCCCGGAUAAAACCAAAAGGUGUUCAACUGCUUCUCCGAUCUCUUCGAUCACAUUGCAGGCUUUCUUGUAAUAAUCUUGGAGAAUUUCGUCGUCCACCAGGGAGUGGGACAGCUUCAUCUUGUUGUUGUCGUUGUUGUCUGUAAGUAUCAGUUCCCGGUCAAUCUCCUGGGCUGCAGCUUCGAUCUUGAAUCCCAUAUUAAGCAGCACCCGCUCUGCAUGUUCAUCUCUCAUCAGCUUGUGAGUUGCUUCCCAAAUUAACCUCAAAAGCUUCCAAUCCGAGAUGCUUUCACGUACGAAUGCACCACCAAUCGGUAACUUAUGCAAGAAAAAAUCUAUGACAUCCCAGCCGGGAAUACCCAUCUCCAGCUCCAGAAUUUUGAUCUCUGACAGGUGCCGAACCUGUGCAAUAAUAAUAAAUAAAUCCUAACUACCACCUGAAACAGUCAGUAAUCAAUUCGAGUACUGGAGCAGGGACUCUAGGUGUGCAAUGGGUUACUUGAUUCACCCUGUUCCCGAAGAGUUUGCUUAAUCCGAUAUAGCUGAAUUAAUUAUUUAACUGGAUUCCCUAACUAGUAGACAGUGAUAAGCAGGGUCGUCUCCUCAGGGACUGGAGAGAUAUUUGUUUCUUUUCAAAUCAAGAUUAAUGGGGGGGUUUUGGUAUCAAAGGCCAACUAAACAAAAUAAAUGUAGAAAGUAAUUGAUUAAAAACAAUAAUUGGAGAAGCUCUAGCCAAGGGUACACUUUAGGAAUGGUUCACGCAACUGAUCAUCGAUUCACAGAUAAUUCCAACUUUUAUUAAUAGAUUGGUUAUAGCUGUCUCGCACGCGCUAAACAACCAACCCUUCCUUAAUUUCUCGAUAGCCAAGGUACGACCGUUAGCUAUUUCUCUAACCCAAAAAUAACCCUAGGUACGACCGUAGGAUUUAAUUUCUAGAUUGCAGUAAUAAUUAGAAAGGCCCAAUCCUAACCAAUAAACACGCUACGAGGGUUUAUUUAAGCUAGAUCGUAUGCUCCCCUGACAUAAACCCAAUUAUGCCAGUUGCUACAAAGACAGAGAUAGCGAACAAUUACGGAUUCAGUUACCUCUAUUUAGCAAAAUAGCCUAUAUGAAUAAUUAAAUAUUGCGCAUCUAUUCAAUCACUCACAUGAGCUAUAGCGGUUAAAAGCAGGAAACAUAUGAAUACCAAUAAAUGCAGGAAAUAAUUAAAAGCGGUUUAGAUCUCACAGUAGUGGUUAACCCAUUCGUCAGUUGUCCCCUUGACUAGAUGGAGGAUUUAGCCACGCCGCAUAAUUAAAUCACCACACGAAUUAAUAGAUUGCAAAAGCAUUGCGUUUCCUAUUAAGAAGCAGGGAAUAAAAGGUGUUUUUCCCGUUGGGGAAUAUUGUCGAACACCUGGCGUGUGUCAGAGGCCAGUCGGGAGAAAAGAGAAAAGAGACUAAAAACUAGGCUAAAAACUAAACUAAAAACUAGCGAUCUUUUUUUUUCUUGUACGUUCCCUCCUUAAGAGACAAAAGAAAGAUAGACUAAAGCUAUCUAGGUGGUCCCCACACAUGUGGACAAAACCUCCUCAAGUACUUCCUCUUCCAAGUCUACUUCCGUAGCUCUCUUUGGAGAGCCCACAUGACUUAUGGCUUUGCGGUCCCCACCAAUCCAAAGGCCCAAGGAUUGAAGUCCUUAGAAGUCUCCAUAUUCUUCAUAAAGUCCCUCUUUUUUUGGUAGUUUGCUGCUUCCUCCUGAAAUUAAGUCCAUAUACCAAAUAUGAGUAGAUAUCAGCAAUUAACACAAUAUUUAUCAGGGAUAAAAGGGGAAAUUAAUAAUAAAAUGACUAACAAAUUACACCCUAUCAAUUCCCCCCACACCUGAAUCAUGCUUGCCCUCAAGCAUAAUUAACUCAGAAGUACGAUCAAGAUGCUAAACAAAUCACAGCAGUUCAUACCAAGAAUGGCAUUUCAAGCUCCCCAAUAACCUUAUCAAAAUCAGAAUAUACCAAAUCAACAAUUCUCGCUGUUUAAAGUGCACUCAUUCGCUCCAAAGUGUAUAUGAAAUGUAUAUAAGAUGGCUCUCAAAACAACACAGUAGAAUGACACCACCAUACGCUUUCUCAUAUAUCAUAUCUCCACCACUUACUCAUGAAUUUAAAUGCAGCAAUCAAGGGACUUGCAAGGUUGUAGUGGGGCUAGGGUGAGAAGGUAGGAUUGAAAGGGGUCAAAAGGGUGCAUAAGUGUAAAGAAAGUGCCCAAAAAUUCAUUACAUAGAUUCUUGCACCUUUGAAAUUUAAAGGCAUCUCAACCAUCACACAAGUGAAGUGAAUUAGCACUUGCCACAACCUUCGCCUUUUCUCCUUUUUCAUUCAUCUACUUCCCCUCUUUUCCCUUUUUUUUUUUUUUUUUUUUUUAGACUGCUUUUCUCUUCAAUACUCCCAACCAGCACCCUAAAGGUCAACUUUACUUGCUGGUUUCCUGCACUCUUUUUUUUCCUUCUUUUCACAUCCCCUUUUUUUCUGUUUUCUUUUUUUUUUCUUGUUUUAUUCACAGAUAGGUACGAUGCCCCUCUAGAAAUACUCCAAAAUUCUGUAUAAUGAAAUCAAAGCACUUCUUCACACAAGGUUCGAAAAGAAAGUCUAAAGAGAGGUUUUUCGGCUAGGAGCUGGGGUUUCUAGCAAAGAAUAGGAUGUAAAGCUCAACUUGGCUCCCUAAUGGUAAUAUAAUCCAAGGGUGAGUUUUGAGAAAGUCCAAAACGGCUCAUUCCUAGGUGCCCUAUCAUUUCAGUGCAUUGAAUUCAUUUAAAUGUGAUUUUGACAUGCACAACCGAGCAAGUUCUAGAAUGACAAACCAUGUGCACUAACCACUCAACAAAACGAAAAAUUAGGCCCAAAAAUCGCACCAGUGAUCAAAUGGAUGUCCAGUUCGGCAUAUUAAUCAAUCAAUUCAGUAUCAAGGAAAGUAGAACACCCCAUGGCAUGAACUUACUAUGUACGCUUAUAUCCCAAUUCGCAUUCAUCAUCGUUCAAAGAAAAGACAACUAUUAAGGCAAGGAAAAACUCAAGCAGACAACUAAAAACACCUCUAAAGCAUAGUUAACCCUCCCCCACACCUAAACCUGACAUUGCCCUCAAUGUAAGCAAAGUAAAACCAAAUUAGAGGUAUUGGGGCAACAACACUUCCCUUAAAACGGAGGAGGGCAGAAAUGAAUCACGGCUGCGGAGGAAAAGGCGGGCGGAAGCCCACGUGAUGGAGAUACUGCGCUAUAUUCUGGGCGACCCCGCCCAUUUGCCGCUCCAUCCGAUCCAUACGAGUGUCCAUGUGCUGCAUCUGGAACCGGAGGGCUGCAAGCUGGCUAUCGACGGAGGAAGAUGGUGGAGGUGCCGAAGAAGAUGGCCCGGGGGCAUCCGUGGACGGACCACCAGCCCCAGUCGCAGUGGAUUUGGAAGCUUUGCGCCUCGGGGGAACGGAGAUUGGCCCCGGGGGAGCAAACUGGAAAGCGCCAUUCACCUGUCUCACAAGACCCAUUUUCUCCAAACAAACCAAAUCAAGGGGCACCAUAAUACAAGCACGAUGCAAGUUAUGAUUAUUCAAGUCCAAAACCCCAAGGUUUACAGCUAACUGAGUAAUAAAGGAGCCUAAGAUUAAUGGCUUAUUUUUCUUACUUAGCACAGUUCGGAGGUGGAGGGCGAACCAGCUACCCAAAUUGACCCUAGUCCGAGUGACCAUGCACCAUACGAAAAAGAACUCGGGCUUAGUCAGAGUACCCGAGCUAUCCUUCCUACCUGAGAAACUAUAGGCCAUGAAUCUAUGUAACUAGCGGUAGGCGGCACUCUUAAGAUAAGAAGCCUUAGACUGACUGGGGUCAUAGCAUUGCUGGUCAACUGACAAGCCACUCCAAUAAUCAAGGUAAUGAGAGAAAAAUGGCUCUAUAUACUCGCACGCACUGUGCAUAUACUCCUCACUCUGGGAGUAAGGAAUAUCAAUAAACCCAAGAGCCAAAUUAAACUCAGUGAUAGAUUGGUUGAACUCUCUACCCAUUAAUCGAUACCUCACAACCCCAGGAGUGGUAACGGAGAAUUGCUCAGGAAUAUUAAAUUCAAAGGUAGCAUAGAAUUCCCACGUGAGUUCAGUAAAAGCAGGUUGAUUUAUAGAAGCAUAGUGGGCCCAACCUACAUUAGUCAAGUGCUGUGCGACCUCAUCCCUCAGGUUUAGCAAAUCUAGUGUAGGGCCAUGGAGGUAUUUACAAGGAAUUAUCUUCCUUGUGCAAGCCGAAGCAUACCGCUCCUUGUCGGCAGCCCGGGUGAAGGUUAAAUGACCGCCAAAAUGGGCCGGAGAGGAGAUAUGAAUCUCCCUAUUCCGUCCAAGGCGGGUACGAGGCCCUCCAGGCCCAGUCGAUGGGGCAGGUCCCUCUAAGGGGACCGUAGGCUGAGGAGAUGAAGUGGAAGGCUUAUUCUUACUUUUGGUUUUCGGUUUAGUCAUUGGGGAUUGGAAAAAAAAAGCAAAGUCAAGGUGAAGUCGGAUAAAACGGAGCGGUAGUUAAUGAACAAAGCAAAGGGUCCCCAAACACAGCUCCAAACACCAACAAGUGAACAAAUAGCAACCAAAUAGCCCAAAAAUCAAUUAAGUAGAUAAACAAUAAAAAUUGCACCCAAAAACUAAUUAAAUACUGAAACUACGAAAACUCCCCAAAUUCUACCAAACAACCUCAAAAAUUCCUUAAUUAAACAACCGCAGCAAAAUUUCCCCAAAAACUAUUAAAUAAACAACCAGAGUGAAAACUUUCCGCCAAUAUCUCUGAUUGAGCACCAAACUUCACAAAUAGACCACAAUCAACCACAGAUAUAUCACAGCACCCCAAAUAACACACAGUUUCUGUUCUCAGCUAACAAAUCAAAAAUCUGGCCUCAGCUAAGAAAUUAAAAUCUGACAUCAGCUAAGAAAGCUAGUAAUCUGGCCUCAGCUACUUAGGGACAGAAAAUUAAAGAAAGAAUUUACCAGGAGGGAUAGCCGGUAGUUGCUAAGGUUGGAAACGAAACAAAAAAUCUUUCCGAUCUUGGGCUGAAAACCUUCGAUGCGGAUUUGUCGGUUGCACCCCUGGUCGCGCGCGCGGACUGCAGCCUGCGACUGGCGGUGCUGGUUGCGGCUGACACUGAAGAGGCUGCGCGCGAUGGUCGCCCGAGGCGGAUGCUGUGCGGAGUGGCGCACGACUGGUGCUGAGGUUGCAGAGGAAGCUGCGCGCAGAGGAGCUGCUGGGCUGCGCGCGCGGUCUGGGCUCACGGCCUGCGGUCCGCGACUGCGGCUGGAUCUCGCGCUGGGGCUGCAGCGCUGGGCGGCGCCGCGCGCAGGGAGCGCGCUUGGGCUGCUGGGGUGGAUCUGGUGCGACGCGCAGGGAGCGUCGCGCGGAGGAGGUGCAGCGCAGAGAGGCUCGCGGCUGGGCUGGGCGGCGCGCAGAGGAGGCUGCGCGAUCCGGCGGCGUGCGGUUGGGCUAGGCGGCGCAGAGGAGCGGCGGCGGACCAAGCAAGAAGAGGAAAAGAAGAAAAGAAAGAAAAGGAAGAAGAAAGAAAGAAAAAAGAAGAAAGGAAGAAGGGCUACGGAGGUUUUUUUUUUUUUUUUUUUUAAUAAUAAUAAGGGCAAUUUCGUCUUUUUCUCCCUUUUUUUUUUUUUUUUUUUACGUGGCCACCUAGCGUGGGCACGUUCAACUGCCCUAGAGUCCGCAGAACCUGAUCGAAAAUUUCCUCCGUCAGGCGCGACCACCUGGCGUGGGCACGUCUAACUGCUAUGUAGUCCGCAGAUCCUGAACGAAAAUUUCCUCCGUCAGGCGUGACCAUCUGGCGUGGGCACGUCUAACUACUAUGGAGUUCGCAGAACCUGAGCGAAAAUUUCCCCCCGUCAGGCGUGACCAUCUGGCGUGGGCACGUCUAACCAUUAAUCUCCUGCCACAAAACAUCAAACCAUCAAUUGACACUAACACUUAACUAAAAUUUCAAAAUUGCAUGAAAACUAAAACAAAUAGUCUUGGGUUGCCUCCCAAGUAGCGCCUUUCUUUACUGUCUUUGGCUAGACAUGGCCAAAACCCCUAAGCAUGAUGAAGUGGAACUUGGAGGUGUUCAACUUCUACUUCUUCAACAUAGAAACCCUCAUAAUAAGGCUUGAGACGAUGGCCAUUCACCACGAACUUUUUCUCGGUUUUUAAACUUUGGAUCUCCACUGCACCAUAAUGAAACACAUUAGAAACGACAAAUGGACCAAUCCAACGAGAACGCAACUUACCGGGAAAAAGUUUAAGCCUUGAGUGGUACAAGAGAACUUUUUGCCCCACUACAAAAGUUUUCCUAGAAACCUGCUGAUCGUGAAAGAUUUUACUCUUCUCCUUAUAGAUCGUGGCAUUUUCAUACGCCUCAUUUCGUAUUUCUUCUAACUCUUGUAGCUGCAAUUUCCUUUGGGCCCCUGCUUCAUCUAAUCCCAUAUUACACUGCUUCACCGCCCAAAACGCCUUGUGUUCGAACUCCACGGGGAGAUGGCAAGCCUUACCGAAAACAAGUCUAUAAGGAGACAUCCCAAUUGGCGUCUUAUACGCAGUUCUAUAAGCCCAUAGUGCGUCUUCUAGCUUCAAGCUCCAAUCCUUCCUGUCCGGACGCACCAUCUUCUCCAAAAUCGACUUGAUUUCCCUGUUUGACACUUCGGCCUGACCGUUCGCCUGCGGGUGAUACGGUGUGGAUACCUUGUGCAGUACACCGUAUUUUCGAAACAAGGCAGUGAUAGUCUUGUUGCAGAAAUGUGUCCCUCUAUCACUAACCACAGCUCUUGGCAUUCCAAAACGGGUAAAGAUAUUAGAUUUUAAGAAAUCUGCAACCACUCUAGAAUCAUUAGUACGGGUGACUUUUGCCUCCACCCAUUUAGACACAUAAUCCACAGCAAGUAAAAUGUAUAGGAAACCAAAAGAUGAGGGAAAAGGACCCAUAAAAUCUAUCCCCCAAACAUCAAAAAUUUCAACAAACAACACGGGGGUUUGAAGCAUUUGGUCCUUACGAAAAAUAUUCCCCACCCUUUGACACCUAUCACAGGAUUUACAGAAUAAAUAAGCAUCUUUGAACAGAGUAGGCCAGUAAAAACCACUCUCCAACACCUUGCGAGCUGUUCGUUUGGGCCCAAAAUGCCCUCCACAUGCAAACGAAUGACAAAAAUUCAAAAUGGAGUGAAAUUCACCUGCACUUACACACCUUCUGAGCACUUGAUCCGAACACUGUCUCCAAAGGUACGGGUCGUCCCAAAUGUAAUACUUGGCGUCGCUCUUUAACUUGUCCCUCUUAGCCUUUGGCCACCCUGCAGGCAAUUGAUUAGUCACUAGAAAGUUUACCAAAUCGGCAUACCAGGGAGUAGACGAGUCAAUGGCCAAUAGUUGCUCCUCUGGGAACGCCUCCCUCAAUGGCGGCUCCUCCUUAUGAGCAAGUAAGCGGCUCAAGUGAUCAGCAACUAAAUUUUCUGCCCCACUCUUAUCCUUAAUUUCCAAGUUGAACUCCUGAAGGAGCAGGAUCCAUCUGAUGAGCCUUGGUUUAGCAUCCUUCUUCGUCAUCAAGUACCUCAAGGCUGCAUGAUCAGAGAAAACUGUUAUUUUUGCACCUAACAAAUAAGGUCUAAAUUUUUCUAAUGCAAAAACCACAGCUAGCAAUUCUUUUUCUGUUGUAGAGUAGUUGAGUUGGGCUCCGUUUAACGCCUUCGAUGCAUAGUAAAUUGCAUGAGCAGCUCUGCCAAUCCGUUGCCCCAGCACCGCUCCCACUGCAUAAUCACUCGCGUCACACAUUAUCUCAAAUGGGAGGUUCCAGUCUGGAGGUUGGAUAACCGGUGGUGACGUCAAUGAGUCCCUCAACCUGUCAAAUGCCACUUUGCACUCUUCGGUGAAGUCGAAUGCCACGUCCUUCUGCAAUAGCUUGAACAGGGCCGCUCCAAUUUUCGAGAAAUCUUUGAUAAAUCUCCUGUAGAAACCUGCAUGACCCAAAAAGGAGCGCACCUCCCGCACACUUGCGGGGUAAGGCAGAGCAGAAAUAAUAUCGACUUUUGCCUUGUCCACUUCUAUACCCCUGGCCGAAACUACAUGCCCUAAAACAAUACCAUGAUCCACCAUGAAAUGACAUUUUUCCCAAUUCAAAACCAAAUUUGUCUCAAUGCAUCUUUUCAAAAUUAAACCUAAAUUAUCAAGGCAUUCAUCAAAGCUAUCCCCAUACACACUAAAAUCAUCCAUAAACACCUCAAUAAUCUUUUCUACAUACUCAGAGAAUAUACUUACCAUACACCUCUGAAAAGUUGCUGGGGCGUUGCAGAGGCCGAAAGGCAUCCUCCGAUAUGCAAAUGUACCGAAGGGGCAGGUGAAGGUAGUUUUCUCCUGAUCCUCUGGUGCUAUUGCAAUCUGAAAAUAACCAGAGAAACCAUCAAGAAAACAAUAAUAGACACGGCCAGCUAACCUUUCUAUCAUCUGAUCAAUAAAAGGCAGAGGGAAGUGGUCCUUCUUCGUCACAGCAUUCAGACGCCGAUAGUCAAUGCACUGGCGCCAUCCUGUGGGUUUCCUCACCGGGAUCAUCUCACCCUCUAGGUUCUCUUCAACUGUUACCCCCGCCUUUUUCGGGACUACUUGCACCGGGCUCACCCAGGGGCUAUCUGAGAUGGCGAAGAUGAUCCCCACUUCUAGGAGUUUUAGUAUCUCCUUCUUGACCACUUCCAUCAUUAGUGGGUUCAAUCUCCGUUGCCCUUGUCUAACUGGCUUCGCAUCAUCCUCAAGCCGGAUCCGAUGCAUGCAUAAGGAGGGGCUAAUUCCCUUGAUAUCUGCUACACUCCACCCAAUUGCCUCCUUAUGAUCUCGGAGAAGACGAAGUAGUCUAUCUUCUUGCCCUGGGGACAGGUGUGCAGAUAUGAUGACUGGCAGUGUCUCAUUGUCCCCGAGAAAAGCAUACUUCAAAUGCUUUGGGAGAGGUUUGAGCUCCAACUCAGGCGCCUGCACAAUAGAAGGCAACAAUUUUGCCUGAGUUUUUGGUACAAAAACAGAAGUAAGCUCAUACCUUGGGGAAAUUGGUGGGAGCGAAUGUAGUGCUCCAACAGCGUGGUAUAGCUCAUCAUUUAUUUCUACAUCAAGAGUUGCUCCCAACUCAAGAUGUUUGGCCAAUGCCACUGCCAGUGCAUCAACCCCAUCCAAUUCAAAUAUUUCCUGUACAAGGGGCUCAACAACACUUAAAGCAUAAAUAGAGUUAGUCUCAUCUGGGUACUUCAUCGCCUCAAAAAUAUUAAAAUUUACAAUUUCCCCAUCAAACUCCAUCGACAAGGUACCCUCAUUAACAUCUAUUUUCGUCCUAGCAGUGCUUCAAAAUGGCCUACCUAACAGAAUAGGAGACGGAUUUAGUGCCCUUUCAUCCCCCAUGUCUAGGACAUAGAAAUCUGCAGGAAAAACUAACUCAUUGACCUGUACCAAAACAUCUUCAACUAACCCUUCCGGGUAAGCAUUGGUACGGUCUGCAAGUUGAAUUAUGAUGCCUGUGCCUUUUAACGGGCCAAGAUUUAGAGAUGCAUAAAUUGUCUUAGGCAUAACAUUAAUUGACGCCCCCAAAUCCAACAUUGCUUUCCUAAUUGGAGUACCUCCUAUCUUGCAGGGAAUGGUAAACAUACCUGGGUCUCCACAUUUUGGUGGGAGCUUCCUCUGGAGUAUAGCUGACACGUUUUCUCCCACCGCCACUCGUUCAUCUCCCCUUAGCUUCCUCUUGUGGGUGCACAGGUCCUUCAGAAAUUUGGCAUAUUUCGGUAUUUGCUUGAUUGCAUCCAGUAGGGGGAUGUUAAUCUCUACUUUCCUGAAUACAUCCAAAAGUUCCUUUUCCUUCUCUACUUUCCUUGUCUUUUCCAACCUGCAAGGAAAAGGGGGUAAGUUAGAGCUAAUAGUGAGUGGAGAGGUGGGGGUUACCUUAGGAUCUUCACGAAUACGUCCUUCCUCCUCAAUUUCCUUUUCUAUCUCCUCCUCGCUUUUGCUUUUUGGAUUCUUCACUUUAGGUCCUUCCAGCUCCUUGCCACUCCUCAGCGUCAUGGCACUUACAUUCCUGGGAUUUAUCUCGGGUUGCGAUGGCAGUUUCCCAUAAACGUGAGAUUCCAAGCGGUUGAUGGCAGUUGCCAGUUGACUUAUUCGAACAUCUUGGUCCUUCUUGUCAGCCUUGGUGUCCUGCUGGAGCUGCUCGGUUUUCGCGGCCAAGGAUCUGAUCUCCUGUUGAAGCUGUGUAGUAGUUGCGACCAGGUUGUUAGUAGUCGUGGCCAGGUUGUUAGUAGUCGUGGCCAGGUUCUUGACUAGGUCCUCCAAGGAGCUUCCUGUAUUGGAGGAUGAGGUUUGAGGUUUUGGUUGCCAAGGCUGGUAGAAUCCUGGUGGACGAUUCGGGAAUGAACCUUGUUGCCUGUUCCCAUAACUGAGAUUAGGAUGGUCUCUCCAACCGGGGUUGUAUGUGUUGGAAUACGGGUCAUACUCCCCGGCAACGGCGCCAAAAAUUGACAGGUGCCGAACCUGUGCAAUAAUAAUAAAUAAAUCCUAACUACCACCUGAAACAGUCAGUAAUCAAUUCGAGUACUGGAGCAGGGACUCUAGGUGUGCAAUGGGUUACUUGAUUCACCCUGUUCCCGAAGAGUUUGCUUAAUCCGAUAUAGCUGAAUUAAUUAUUUAACUGGAUUCCCUAACUAGUAGACAGUGAUAAGCAGGGUCGUCUCCUCAGGGACUGGAGAGAUAUUUGUUUCUUUUCAAAUCAAGAUUAAUGGGGGGGUUUUGGUAUCAAAGGCCAACUAAACAAAAUAAAUGUAGAAAGUAAUUGAUUAAAAACAAUAAUUGGAGAAGCUCUAGCCAAGGGUACACUUUAGGAAUGGUUCACGCAACUGAUCAUCGAUUCACAGAUAAUUCCAACUUUUAUUAAUAGAUUGGUUAUAGCUGUCUCGCACGCGCUAAACAACCAACCCUUCCUUAAUUUCUCGAUAGCCAAGGUACGACCGUUAGCUAUUUCUCUAACCCAAAAAUAACCCUAGGUACGACCGUAGGAUUUAAUUUCUAGAUUGCAGUAAUAAUUAGAAAGGCCCAAUCCUAACCAAUAAACACGCUACGAGGGUUUAUUUAAGCUAGAUCGUAUGCUCCCCUGACAUAAACCCAAUUAUGCCAGUUGCUACAAAGACAGAGAUAGCGAACAAUUACGGAUUCAGUUACCUCUAUUUAGCAAAAUAGCCUAUAUGAAUAAUUAAAUAUUGCGCAUCUAUUCAAUCACUCACAUGAGCUAUAGCGGUUAAAAGCAGGAAACAUAUGAAUACCAAUAAAUGCAGGAAAUAAUUAAAAGCGGUUUAGAUCUCACAGUAGUGGUGAACCCAUUCGUCAGUUGUCCCCUUGACUAGAUGGAGGAUUUAGCCACGCCACAUAAUUAAAUCACCACACGAAUUAAUAGAUUGCAAAAGCAUUGCGUUUCCUAUUAAGAAGCAGGGAAUAAAAGGUGUUUUUCCCGUUGGGGAAUAUUGUCGAACACCUGGCGUGUGUCAGAGGCCAGUCGGGAGAAAAGAGAAAAGAGACUAAAAACUAGGCUAAAAACUAAACUAAAAACUAGCGAUCCUUUUUUUUCUUGUACGUUCCCUCCUUAAGAGAUAAAAGAAAGAUAGACUAAAGCUAUCUAGGUGGUCCCCACACAUGUGGACAAAACCUCCUCAAGUACUUCCUCUUCCAAGUCUACUUCCGUAGCUCUCUUUGGAGAGCCCACAUGACUUAUGGCUUUGCGGUCCCCACCAAUCCAAAGGCCCAAGGAUUGAAGUCCUUAGAAGUCUCCAUAUUCUUCAUAAAGUCCCUCUUUUUUUGGUAGUUUGCUGCUUCCUCCUGAAAUUAAGUCCAUAUACCAAAUAUGAGUAGAUAUCAGCAAUUAACACAAUAUUUAUCAGGGAUAAAAGGGGAAAUUAAUAAUAAAAUGACUAACAAAUUACACCCUAUCAAUCUCUUACUUCAGCAAGCAUACCAAGAUCUGUCUAUCAGACUGGUCUGUCUGUGUAAACGAGAAAUUCUUCUAAUGGAGUAGCAUCUAUGCAAGAGACACCCCGAGAGGCACUUUCCAUUUCAAACAAUUUCACGGCCAAGAUUAGAUUGCAGUAAUGGCCGCGACAUGGUUUUUAGUUGGGGCCCACAAAGCGGUGCCGUUCCGUGUCGGACAAAGAAAAGUGAAAAUUAAGGACUAAUAACAUGCCCGCAUCUGGAGGACACAUCGUUGUGAGAGGAAAAAUUUAACAGGUUGGGAUUUUGGAUCCUUCCGCUUACAGUAUUAAAAAAAAAACUCUAUAAAAUUUUUAAUGAAACCCAACAUAGAGAAAUAAGGUCCCAACUUCUUCAAAAUUUUGGAAAGUGAAAAUAUUUGCGGUCCUACCAAUUCUAGAUUUAUUGAAGUUUUGCUCGUUAGUUUUGUUUCUUUUUUUUUAUUAUUUUUUUAAUGUAACUAGGAGACUCGAACCGAAAACCUUUCCCUCAGACUCUCUCAUCUGGAACCAUCCAAUCCAAUUCUCCUCCUCCGAACAACUGUUGUGCAUGUUGGUUGAUAAUUUGAAAAAAAAAAAAAAAAGAUUUCCUCAUAUCAUGAAAGUAUCAAGUAUGUCCUCGGAUUUUUAGAAUAUUCAUAGAUAUUGGAAACUUUUUUGUCUUUGUUUGUUGUAAUUACAAGGGGAUACAAAAGGCAUUUGCUUGUUUCCAUACUUGUGAAGAAAUUCUCAAUAUCUAACGACCACUGUGAGAAGAAAAUUAGAAAAAAAAUCCUGACUCUCUAAUUAUCCAAAUUGAAUGGUAGAUUAGGGCUAUUAUAAUUUCUUAAUUGGCAAAUAAAACUUUUGAUUUGAAUUAGUCUUGUUGAAGAACAAUAUAGAAAUCUUCAUGGCAGUGUUGUGUGUAAGAGUAUGUAAAAACACUGUAAGUAUAUUUGAUUUUUGAAUAAUUGCAAAACAAUGGAUGGCUGAGUUGUUAUGAGUUAGCCGAUUGAAAACAUUUUGAUCAAAUUAGUUGAUGCUGUUUUUACACCCAAGUGUUAAAGGCAUUAAAACCAAUUUGCAGAUAUUUACACCAGUAGUUAUUAAUUUAACACUUUUAAGUCCUGCCCAAUCCUACUACCUUACAACCAUUUGUUGGACAUUGAGCCUUUUUUUUUUUUUUUUUGGGACAUUGGUUACCAUACGGGCCUUGUGCAUAUCCUAACAAGCUUAUAAAUAUCAUUCAUGAUGCUGAUCCUUGACUUUGUCCCCAUAGGCAAGAGUCAGGUGGAAUUCCAUGUAGGUUUUGAUAAUACAAGAUUAACGAGGGUGAUAAUUGUUUUUGCAAUACAGGGGAUGAACGGCAUUGGGAAGCAGACAAUGGAUAUUCAAUGAACUUUUUUUUAUUUGAAUGAUGUAAAUUGUGAAACAUAAGACACCCAUUUGGUGUAAACCAGUUGUGCAGAUCCAACAACAUUUGGUAUAAACUCGUAUAAUUUCAGUGAGAUUAUGAUUUUUACACAAAUCUAGUUGUAUAAAUCACAAGCUCAAGUUUUACACAAAGUUGUAUGAAUUUAUACGAAAUGCAAUAAUAAUUACACAACUAAUUUGAAUUGGAUAACAACUCAAUUUGUAAAGCCCCGAAUCCUAUUUACCAGUACAAGGAUAUGGUUCUAUUGGUUAACGUUAAAUUGUAAGUUGUUGACAUUCAAAAGAUGAACUAGGUGGUGGCACUAGAGCAAUCUAGAUGAUGUAUAUUAGAUGAAUUUUUUUGUUACACCUUGCAAGUUUAAAACCCAAAAGAUGUGCAAUCUGAACUAAAUUGUCUCGAAGAGAAGAUUGGCAAACUAAACCUACUAGAAAAAAAAAAGAAGGAAUUAUUCUAAUGGAUAUAAAAUAGAUACUCGUUAAUACAGUUAAAUUGCAUUCAAUCUACCAUAUCAAUGUAUAUAUUAACAAUUAUUAUCUUCUCUUAGAGUUUGACACUUUCCCUGAUUAACAUUACUUUAACUAUUAUUAUCCUCCCUUAUAGUUAUAUACUUUUCCUAAUUAACUUUACUUUUCUAAAAAUUUAACGCCUAAAAUACAUAUUAAUUAGUGCCUUGUUAGACUGACUCAAAAAGAAAUAUUACGGCCAAGCAAGAGGACCAAACUUGGAGUACAGAAGUAUGAUUUAAUACCAAAAUGGACAAAAAAUUAACUGGAUCACAACUAAACCACCUAAAAAAAGUGUUUUCGUUUUUGUAACUCCUCCAUUAUCUGUAGAGUGACUAGGGAAAAGUAUCAUAAAACGGGUGCUAGGUAGGCUUCGAAUCCUCUGUCUCCAAAGUAAUCUCUGUCCCCGAAGUAGGUAUCUAUACAAUAAUUAACGGAGAAAAGUGGCAGUUGUGGUAAACAUUUUGCAUCAUUUUUGAAACUUUCAAUUUUGCCUUUGAAAAUUAAUUUUUACUCUAACCACCUAAUCACAUUUGCUAAUAUAAUCUCUCAUAACUCUGGUUCAUAACAGUAAAUUAUUUUUUUUUUUAGUAUAACUGGGAGAUCUCAAAACGUUCCAUUUUAUCAUCAAAUUGUUUGAAAACCUUGAUAUUUUUCAGCCAGUCAUAUGUCCUCAACUAUUAAAAGAGAUAUCAUCUUACAGACGAAUCAGUAAAGAAUGAGUUUCUGAAACGUUAUUGUCUUGACAAGUUCAUGGCAGAGUUCAACAUAAUGCACAAUCAAACUGAUGAUCUCAUAUAUGAACUACUAAUAAGGACUUUGGUAUCCCCAGUUGCUUCAGCAAUUCUUUAUGCAGACUCUUCUACAGUUUGUCUGCACCAGUGCGCUUCAAUCACUUCCAGUGUACCUAUGUCUGCAAAAUCAUAGGGAAUUUCCUCGAGGUCUUUGCAACUUUGCAAGACAAGCCGUUCAAGUUUGGGAAGGUGAUCACAAGUCGCAUUCCACUGAGAAACGUUCAGAUUGUCUAAUUUCAAGA
rnacentral:lncRNA from 1 species